UAGCCACACCAUACUGGUUUUUUAGGUUGCUCUAGUGUCCAGUGUCAUUUUUUCACUGCUUCAUGGUUAAGAAGUUGCAGGCGCCAGCUCCAGUGGCUGGUCUCCAGGGUUGCUGAUCCUGGAACGUCUGUUGACAUGUCUGGUUGAUAUUGAUAUUGUUAUUGAGUUUGGGUCUGUCAGUAUGUUGAGGUGCUGUGUGUCGUUCUCUAGUGUGUGUGUGUGGUGUCAUGUAGGGUUGCUUUUUUCUUGCGGUUCCUCCUAGGAAUCUGGUCUUCGGGAUCUGGCCGUCGCGAGGCGCAUACUAGAGCCUCGCGACUACAACCCUGUAUGGUUGUUUUUCUUGACAGGUCCCUGAUUUUACCAGCAUGAUGUUGAGGACUGUAAUCUUUGCAACCUUAUAAGAAUAAAUGAAGUAUGUGUUUGUUUUGCAAGUUCUAUGCUUGUACAUGCAUUGUUUUUUCUUCAAUAUGUUUAUCAAGGAUGUCAAGUGCGUUGUCUAGUAACAAGAUGCAUUCUUGAAAGUUGGCUGCUCGAUGUGCCAAAUUUUGAAAUUUGAGGGGCAUAUUUUGGUAUCCAAGAAUGGCAUCCAUAUUUGGAUUUGUGAUUAUAUUUCUUCCCAUGUUGUCUUGUACAAUUCCGGUUCGUGCUUCUCUUGUCCAUCGCUUUAACACAUGAUAUGCCGUUGUGACUUGAUAUUCAUCAAAUCAAGAACUUUAAGAGCAUGGCCACAUAAUAUCCCAGUUCUAUCAAACAGCCAGCAACUGCACUCAAUUGUUUGUUUCAAAGGAUCACCGAUAACUUUAUGCUCCUCAAAGGUAAAAUCUCCAAUAAUAUUCAUUACAACCAUCCAAUAACUGCACUCAAUUGUUUGCUUCAAAGGAUCACCGAUAACUUUAUGCUCCUCAAAGGUAAAAUCUCCAAUAAGAUAUUCAUUGCAACCAUCCAAUGCCUUGGUACAAGCUGAUAAGGAUAUUUCAUAUUCGCCUUGAAAAGCUUCAAAUAUAUACGGGGUGUACAACUUGCUAGCCUACACCAAUCUAGGUGGUGGUCUCCUCAAAUAAUUUAGGCAACUUUUUCCUUGAAUUUAAAUUUUGAAUUCAGUUCAUUAUUUAUUUUUCGCACCACCCUUUCAAAAUGCUUUAAAAACCGGAUGAUAUCAAAAUCAGUUUUCAGAUGGAUUUUCAAGUCACUGUUGAGACUCUCACUCAAUUGUGUACUUCUCAUUCCCAAUGUGAAGAUAUCCUUCAUAUAACAUUCAACUCAUUUUUGUCCUCCUAAGGUCAAACUUCUGUUCAAAAUCGGCAGUGUCUUUGUACUCAAACAUGCACACACUAAAAUCUGACAGAAUACGUGUUUCUUCAUUCUCCUCUAUUUUCUUCUCUUCAUUCUUCUCCCUUUUCUUCAUUCUCCUCUUCACCCUUCUCUUCAUGUAAAUGUUUGACAACAUUUUGCAUAAUGUGAAAGGUGCAUAAUCCAUGUUAUGCUGCAAACACUUCCCCAACGGCCUUUCCCAUUGCAACAUCUUGAUCUAUAUAGAAUGGUUUAGGCCCCUUUCCUUUAUGAGAUAUUAGAAAGGCCUAAAACGACCACUUGAAGGACGCAAAUGUUUCAUCAUACAUGAGAGCAGCACCAAAAACUACAAUUUCUCUAAAAUGAUUGAAACCGACAGAGAAACCAAAGGGCCUGCUCUCCUUGUUUGUUCGAAAAGUGGUGUCAAAACUAAAAACAUCACAAAAAUGUGCAUAGCCCAUGAUCAUCUUAGCAUCAACCAAAAAUAUGUUUCCUAUUUGUUCUUCACAAUCCAUUUGCAAUGCAUAUUGGAAUGACCGCCUUUCAGCAAUUUUGUCUUGAAAAUACUUAAGCAUGCUACCUGCUUGGCCAUAUGUCAUUUCUCGUCGCCACCUGGUCCACAAAUAGUUCUUGUGAUCACGGAGGGUAUAGUUAAGAUGAGUUGCCCACCAACUUGGCGGCUAGCCAAUUCAUGUGCAGCUUUUGGCCCUAUUCCCGCAUCGUCUGCCGUUUCAAUUUCAAAUGCUUGCAAAUCUGUUUUUUUUUCUUUGUGAUACCAUUGCGUGUAAGAUUUCUGGCAGGUGUAGUGUGUGAUUGUGCUCCAAAACCAACCCGGACACUUUGAGAUUUUCCUUCUUUUGGUCCAUUUUAAGACUCAUGUAGACUUGGACACUCGGUUCUAGUUUCAGCUCAAGGGCACUUUGUCAAAUAAUCCCUUUUGUCUUGUGAUCGAAAACCCUCAUUUGCACAAACAAAUCUACAUGAUGUAACUUUGUCAUCGUUUGGCCUUUUGUUUGUAUACCUUUUUCUAACCUCGUGUCUUUUCCGUCCACUGUAGCUAAGCCAAAAUGCCCAAGCCUCAUCUAGAUUUCUAAAUUCCAUGCCAACAUGAGGUACCAAACUAGGCAAUACAACUCUAUAAUAUAAAACUAAUAUGAACAUUAGACUUGUGGAAGUGUUUAGAAAAUAUUAGGACUAAUAGUAUUGGAAAAUAGAUUUCUAUUAGAGAAUAAGCAAACAGUAGUGUUAAUUGGGACAAGUAGGGAUUAGGUGCUAAGAAAAUUCUACAUAUACAGCAUGGUUAUGAGUCAUAAGUAUUACUCCAUGCCCUGGAAACAAUCACAUAGAAUCUACAUAUUUCACUAGUAUAUUCAUACAUAAGUAGAACAAUUGUUUAAUGCUAUUACUACAAUCACUAUUGUACUUCUAAAAGCACAAGGCUUCCAAGUCAGAAACAUAGGUAUCCAGACCUCACUACUCCGAGAAUCAAAUUAGCCUUUUGUUCUCAAUUUAUGAAGCAUUUAAACAACUAAACUCACUCAAAGGAAAAUUUACAUACAAUUUAACAAUUUAGUUAAUCUGAUGCGAUUGCUAGUAUAUCAAGCACUGGCUUGUAGUUGUCUGAAUAGCAUUUUUACACAGGCAACAUAGGGAUACUUCGGUUACCACAAAAAAAUUGUGGUCAAACACAUAAGUACAAGGUUUUUUCAAAGGCAACCCUUGUUCACGACAUUAGGCUGGAGAGGAAGGUCCUCACCUCGUCUUCCACCUAGACUUGGUCAUGCUAGUACACCGUAUCUAACUUUAGGGGGAUCAGAAAGAUUACCUAUUGGAAUUAGAAUCAUUCUCCGUUGUGUUUGCCUCGUCUUCCAUUGAAGUUGCUUCUUCCAUCAGAGAAGAGGAUGCCAAAUCAAAGUUCAACAGGCUGCUUCUUCAAUGAGAAAAAGGGAAAUCUCAUCAAGUUCUAAAGUAAUCUGACGGUCAAACUUCGAUCGGUUUUAGUGUUUUACUAGUAGGUGGAAUCGCGGCGGCACGCUACGCCCAUAGGACAGCCCGUUUGAAUCUUUGGUGUUGAUUUUGUGAAAGAAAUAAAAUAGGAGAGCCCGUUGAAUCACCUAGAAAAGGAAGGAAAAAAAUGACAGGUGCGUUCAUUAUAGAAAUGCACAAUAUUGAUGUGCAAACACAACAAGAAACAUGAUCAAUUCAUGGAGAUGAAAACUCAAAGACUUGCGUUACAAUUUUAGGAACAUAAGAAUAGAAGCAAAUAAAACUUAGAAAAAUAAAUCCGUGCAAAAAAAAUACAGUGUUGUCCUUUGAGAUUCGGCUCUACUCCAUCAAUCAAUNNNNNNNNNNNNNNNNNNNNNNNNNNNNNNNNNNNNNNNNNNNNNNNNNNNNNNNNNNNNNNNNNNNNNNNNNNNNNNNNNNNNNNNNNNNNNNNNNNNNNNNNNNNNNNNNNNNNNNNNNNNNNNNNNNNNNNNNNNNNNNNNNNNNNNNNNNNNNNNNNNNNNNNNNNNNNNNNNNNNNNNNNNNNNNNNNNNNNNNNNNNNNNNNNNNNNNNNNNNNNNNNNNNNNNNNNNNNNNNNNNNNNNNNNNNNNNNNNNNNNNNNNNNNNNNNNNNNNNNNNNNNNNNNNNNNNNNNNNNNNNNNNNNNNNNNNNNNNNNNNNNNNNNNNNNNNNNNNNNNNNNNNNNNNNNNNNNNNNNNNNNNNNNNNNNNNNNNNNNNNNNNNNNNNNNNNNNNNNNNNNNNNNNNNNNNNNNNNNNNNNNNNNNNNNNNAAAGGAGUAUAUUUCGAGCGCUUGCAUUAAGAGUGAUUAGCUUCCCUUUGCUUGUAGAAUGAAAUAAUGGUAAUAUAUACCACAAAUCUCAUAUUUGGUACAAUAUCAAUGAGGAAAAUUAACAUCUGAAGCAUCUUAUGAGGAUAAAAUAGUUAUUAGCAAAUCCAUAUUGCCGAAGCAGCUUAUGAGGAUAAAAUAGUUAUUAGCAAAUCCAUAUUGUACACAAAAUAAAAUUUUACGGAAGAAUAUAUGGAUCAAAGCAUCAUUCAGGCUGUCUAGAAAAAUUGAAGUGACUAACAUUUCUGCAAAAGAAAACUAAUUGAAGUGAAAAACACUAAGGCGCAAACGAUGCAUCAUCUUUGGAUAUAAUAUUUUUUUAUCUAGGACCGUACUCAAGGCUGCACACAUAUAUGCAGAUUGAUUAAGCGGUAACAAAACUUGCACACAAACAAAUAUCAUAUGAACAGUAACAAAAAUGAAGAGUUCGGACGUUACAAAUAACAAUCAAACUCAAAUGAAAUGCAUAUUGUCAGUAAGAAAAUAUGUAACCAAGUAAGUGACAAACCAAAAAUGCUAAAAGCAACACGACCAAAAUAUUUGAAAGAUGAAUACAAAAAUAGGGGGGGCAUCAUGCACAAAGCUUACCUUUUUGAUUUGGAUCACAACUUCUGAACAUGCAUAAGAUAAAAACAACAUGACCAGUAAGUACAUGUGGAGGCUCAUCCUGUACUAUGUCAUUGUGUGUGUAAAUCAGGUUGUAGCAUGUUGAUAGUUUAGCCACAAGACCAUGUGAUUAAGCCUUGUAGAUUGAAACAUAGGUGACACACGUGAUCAGGUGAACUAUAGUAGCUGAACUCCAGACUACAAAUUCAGGGAAAAAGUAAUACUUACAAAUUGUCCAGAUAAAUUUAUUUGCAAAACUAUAUUUCAAUGUAAAUUUGGCUCAAAAUAGUGUGUACGAAAUUGCAAUCAUCUAAUACAAAUCCCAUGUCAAAGGAUAAUCAUUUUGGUUAUUACAUAUGAAAAAUGCAUGAAUCUACACUUCAAAAUAUGUCUAUAUACAUUCGUACGUAGUCCCUAUUGGAAUCUCUAAAAGACUUAUAUUUAGGAACCGCGGGAGUAGAAUAUAAGAUUACUUGGGAACAAUAAUGCAGAUGAUUUUAAUAAAGAAAUAACUUAAAUAACUGAUAACAGUGUAAUGAAGUGGCACUCGGAACGUUCCACAUGAGAACAAAGACAAAAGUUUUACAUCACAUAUUUCAGUAUCUUGAAGGUUAUAAAGAGCAAAACCUUGUAUUUCUUGCAAAGUAAUUAGUGCAUAUAUAUUAUCGCGUGAUAACUUGUAAACCAUUUUGUAGAAGAGAUGGAAUUUGCGAAGAAAAAAUAUCAUAACAUGUAAAGCACAAAUGAAAACCUGACUUGAUGGUGUUGAGCAUUUUCAUAGCGCCCACAGUGCUCCGUUUUUUCUUGGGGGCAGUUGAAGUUACUAAAUUUAUCGUUCCAACUUUCCUGAUCUCCUACUCGGCUAUUUUUGCCAUGUGUGUGGCAUCCCUUUCAAAUGAGCAAAUGGGUGUGUCAUUUUCUACUCAUUCUUCUGUUUGCUUACACCUUUUAAUACGGGUAGUUCCAUGAUCGCAAAGGAAACAUUAGCAUUAUCUCAAUUACAAAACUUGAUUUAUUUUGAGUAUUUACAGGUGCAUGUAGUUGUGGCCGGCGAAGAGAAUGAAGUGGUUGUGAUUGAAUUAGUAGAAAUUGUUGGAAUACCUCAUGACUUCAUUGUAGAUGAUGUGGCCCACGGACAUCCGAGGGUGGUUGUUUGCCUUUUGGACAAUAUCCAUGGCCAGGAACCAGAUUGUGUCAGCCGACUUGUCGCAUAUCCCGACCUUGGCGGCCUACCCGUCGACCGUCCCGUCUCCGGCAGUGCGCCACCGAAACUACCCUAGAGAGCUGGCGGCGACUUUCCUUCGCAUGGGCCAAGCUCGAACACAUUUGGCCCGCAGCAAGGCCAGUGAAAACUCAAGGCGACGACCUCCCAUCUAUGCUGGGUUGCGGUUUGAUUGUCAAGAAGAAGCGCAAGUGGUUCUCAAUCCGUGUCCGACAGUCCAUUAGCUCCUGUAGUGCGCGAGGGAGGAGGGACAUGGUGUUGGGAAUCGUUGCAUGGAAAACAAAAACAAUUCUACGCACACACAAUGAUCUAUCCAUGGAGAUGCAUAGCAACGAGGGGGAGAGUGUGUCUAUGUACCCUUGUAGACUGUAAGAGGAAGAGUUUCACAACGCGGUUGAUGUAGUCAAACUUCUUCACGCUUCAACCGAUCAAGUACCAAACGCCCGGCACCUCCGCGUUCUGCACACGUUUAACACGGUGACGUCCCUCGCCUUCAUGAUCCAGCAAGACGCCGAGGUAGUAGAUGAGUUCCGUCAGCACGACGGCGUGGUGACGAUGAUGGUGAAGUGAUCUCCGCAGGGCUUCGCCUAAGCACUACGGAAAUAUGACCGGGGGUGUAAACGGUGGAAGGGGGCACCGCACACGGCUAGGCAAUUGUCUGGUGUGUGCUAGGCGCCCCCCUCCCACAUAUAUAUAGGUGGGAGGGAGGAAGGAGCAGCCAAAGGAGGCUCACAAGUAGGAGGAAUCCUACUUGGAGUCCCUCCCAAGCCGCGCCCCCUUCUUUCCUUAUUUGGAGUGAGGGGAAAGGUAGGGGAGGGUGGCGCCCCUCCAUUCCCUUUCUCCCAUGAGAGGGAAAGGAAAGAGGGGCUAGCCCUCCACAUUUUACAUCCCUAGGGCUGUUCAAACAAGUGGAGGGGCGCACUAAGCCCAUAACUUGCCCGGGGGUGCCCGGAACCCCUUCCGGUGACCCGAUUCCUUCCCGGUACGUCCCGAAACACUUCCGGUGUCAAAAUACCAUCGUCCUAUAAAUCAAUCUUUCCCUCUCAACCAUUUCGAGACUCCUCGUCAUGUCCGUGAUUUCAUCUGGGACUCCGAACAACAUUCGGUCACCAAAUCAUAUAACUCAUAUAACAUUAUAUCGUCAACGAACGUUAAGCGUGCGGACCCUACGGGUUCGAGAACUAUGUAGACAUGACUGAGACACCUCUCCGGUCAAUAACCAAUAGCGGAACCUAGAUGCCCAUAUUGUCUCCUACAUAUUCUACGAAGAUCUUUAUCGGUCGAACCGUUAUGACAACAUACGUAAUUCCCUUUGUCUAUCGGUAUGUUACUUGCCCGAGAUUCGAUCGUCGGUAUCUUCAUACCUAGUUCAAUCUCGUUACCGACAAGUCUCUUUAUUCGUUCCGUCAUACAUCACCUCGUGAAUAACUACUUAGUCAUUUGCUUGCAAGCUUAUGAUGUGUAUUACCGAGAGGACCCAGAGAUACCUCUCCGAUACUCGGAGAGACAAAUCCUAAUCUCGAUCUAUGCCAACUCAACAAACACCUUCGGAGAUACCUAUAGAGCAUCUUUAUGAUCACCCAGUUAUGUUGUGACGUUUGAUAGCACACAAGGUAUUCCUCCGGUAUCCGAGAGUUGCAUAAUCUCAUAGUCGAAGGAAUAUGUAUUUGACAUGAAGAAAGCAAUAGCAACAAACUGAACGAUCAUUAUGCUAAGUUAACGGAUGGGUCUUGUCCAUCACAUCAUUCUCCUAAUGAUGUGAUCCCGUUAUCAAAUGACAACUCAUGUCCAUGGUUAGGAAACCUUAACCAUCUUUGAUCAAUGAGCCAGUCUAGUAGAGGCUCACUAGGGACACGUUGUUUGUUUAUGUAUUCACACAUGUAUUUAAGUUUCUGAUCAAUACAAUUCUAGCUUGAAUAAUAAACCUUUAUCAUGAUUUAGGAAAUAUAAUAAUAACCAUUUUAUUAUUGCCUUUAGGGCAUAUUUCCAUCAGUCUCCCACUUGCACUAGAGUCAAUAAUCUAGUUCACAUCACCAUGUGAUUUAACACCCAUAGUUCACAUCGCCCUGUGACCAACAUCCAAAGAGUUUAGUAGAUUCAAUAAUCUAGUUCACAUCGCCAUGUGAUUAACCCAAAGAGUACUAAGGUGUGAUCAUGUUUUGCUUGUGAGAGAGGUUUAGUCAACGGGUCUGUCACAUUCAGAUUCGUAUGUAUUUUGCAAAUUUAUGUGUCUACAAUGCUCUGCAUGGAGCUACUCUAGCUAAUUGCUCCCACUCUCAAUAUGUACCCAGAUCGAGACUUAGAGUCAUCCGGAUUGGUGUCAAAGAUUGCAUUGACGUAACUCUUUACGACGAACUCUUUAUCACCUCCAUAACCGAGAAACAUUUCCUUAGUCCUCUUUAGGUACCUAAGGAUAAUUUUUACCGCUGUCUAGUGAUCUACUCCUGGAUCACUAUUGUACCCCCUUGCCAAACUCAUGGCAAGGCACACAACAGGUCUGGUACACAGCAUGACAUACUUUAUAGAACCUAUGACUGAGGCAUAGGGAAUGACUUUCAUUCUCUCUAUAUAUUUUGCCGUGGUUGGGUUUUGAGUCUUACUCAACUUCACACCUUGUAACACAGGCAAGAACCCUUUCUUUGACUGAUCCAUUUUGAACUUCUUCAAAACUUUAUCAAGGUAUGUGCUUUGUGAAAGUCCUAUCAAGCGUCUUGAUCUAUCUCUAUAGAUCUUGAUGCCCAAUAUAUAAGCAGCUUCACCGAGGUCUUUCAUUGAAAAAUUCUUAUUCAAGUAUCCUUUUAUGCUAUCCAGAAAUUCUAUAUCAAUCCCGAUCAACAAUAUGUUAUCCACAUAUAAUAUCAGAAAUGUUACAGAGCUCCCACUCACUUUCUUGUAAAUACAGGCUUCACCAUAAGUCUGUAUAAAACCAUAUGCUUUGAUCACCACAUCAAAGCGUAUAUUCCAAUUCUGAGAUGCUUGCACAGUCCAUAGAUGGAUCGCUGGAGUUUGCACACUUUGUUAGCACCUUUAGGAUCGACAAAACCUUCUGGUUGCAUCAUAUACAACUCUUCUUUAAGAAAUCCAUUAAGGAAUGCAGUUUUGACAUCCAUUUGCUAGAUUUCAUAAUUAUAAAAUGUGGCAAUUGCUAACAUGAUUCAGAGUGACUUAAGCAUCGCUACGGGUGAGAAGGUCUCAUCGUAGUCAACUCCUUAAACUUUUCUAAAACCUUUCGCAACAAGUCAAGCUUUGUAGAUGGUGACAUUACCAUCAGCGUUUGUCUUCUUCUUGAAGAUCCAUUUAUUCUCAAUGGCUUGCCGAUCAUCGGGCAAGUCCACCAAAGUCCAUACUUUGUUCUCACACAUGGAUCCUAUCAUAGAUUUCAUGGUCUCAAGCCAUUUAUCGAAAUCUGGUCUCAUCAUAGCUUCUUCAUAGUUCGUAGGUUCGCCUUGGUCUAGUAACAUGACUUCCAGAACAGGAUUACCGUACCACUCUGGUGCGGAUCGUGCUCUGGUUGACCUACGAGGUUCAGUAGUAACUUGAUCUGAAGUUUCAUGAUCAUCAUCAUUAGCUUCCUCUCUAGUUGGUGUAGGCAUCACGGGAACGGAUUUCUCUGAUGUGCUACUUUCCAAAUUGAGAGAAGGUACAAUUACCUCAUCAAGUUCUACUUUCCUCCCACUUACUUUUUUCAAGAGAAACUCCUUCUCUAGAAAGGUUCCAUUCUUGGCAACAAAGAUCUUGCCUUCGGAUUUGUGGUAUAAGGUGUACCCAAUUGUUUCCUCCGGGUAUUCUAUGAAGACACACUUCUCCGAUUUGGGUUCGAGCUUACCAGGCUGAAGCCUUUUGACAUAAGUGCCGCAACCCCAAACUUUAAGAAACGACAGCUUAGGUUUCUUGCCAAACCACAGUUCAUACGGUGUCAUCUCAACGGAUUUAGAUGGUGCCCUAUUUAACGUGAAUGCGGCUGUCUCUAAUGCAUAACCCCAAAACGAUAGUGGUAAAUCGGUAAGAGACAUCAUAGAUUGCACCAUAUCUAAUAAAGUGCGAUUACGACAUUCGGACACACCAUUACCCUGUGGUGUUCCAGGUGGUGUGAGUUGGGAAACAAUUCCACAAUGUUUUAAAUGAAGUCCAAACUCGUAACUCAAAUAUUCGCGUCCGUGCUCAGAUCAUAGAAACUUUAUUUUCUUGUUACGAUGAUUCUCCACUUCACUCUGAAAUUCUUUGAACUUUUCAAAUGUUCCAGACUUGUGUUUCAUUAAGUAGAUAUACCCAUACCUACUCAAAUCAUCUGCGAAGGUCAGAAAAUAACGAUACCCGCCGCGUGCCUCAAUACUCAUCGGAUCGCAUACAUCGGUAUGUGCUACUUCUUGAGCUUGCGUUGGUUUUUCCCUUGAAGAGGAAAGGGUGAUGCAGCAAAGUAGAGUAAGUAUUUCCCUCAUUUUUGAGAACCAAGGUAUCAAUCCAGUAGGAGACAACACACAAGUCACCGAAUACCUGCACAAACAAACACCAACUUGCACCCAACGCGAUAAAGGGGUUGCCAAUCCCUUCACAGUUAUUUGCAAAUUGAGAUCUGAUAGAGAUGAAUAAAUGGUAAAGUAAUAUUUUUGGUAUUUUUGGUUUAUGGAACGGAAAGUAAAAGAUUGCAAAGGAAGUAAAUAGGAAACUAAAAUUGUAGAUCGGAAACUUAUAUGAUGGAAAGUAGACCCGGGGGCCAUAGGUUUCACUAGAGGCUUCUCUCAAGAUAGAAAUAUUACGGUGGGUGCACAAAUUACUGCCGAGCAAUUGAUAGAAAAGCGCAAAGUUAUGAGAUAUCUAAGGCAAUGAUCAUGAAUGUAGGCAUCACGUCCGUAUCAAGUAGACCGAUUCUUGCCUACAUCUAGAGUAUUAAGUUCAUAAGAACAAAGUAACACAUUAAGUAAGAUGACAUGAUGUAGCGGGAUAAACUCAAGCAAUAUGAUCAAAACCCCAUCUUGUUAUCCUCGAUGGCAACAAUACAAUACGUGUCGGUUCCCCUUGUGUCACUAGGAUCGAGCACUACAAGAUUGAACCCAAAGCUGAGAACUUCUCCCAUUGCAAGAAAAACCAAUCUAGUUGGCCAAACCAAAUCGAUAGUUCGAAGAGACUUGCAAAGAUAUCAAAUCAUGCAUAUAAGAAUUCAGAGGAGAUUCAAAUAAUAUUCAUAGAUAAGCUGAUCAUAAAUGCACAAUUCAUCGGAUCUCGGCAAACACACCGCAAAAGAGUAUUACAUCGAAUAGAUCUCCAAGAACAUCGUGGAGAACAUGGUAUUGAGAAUCAAAGAGAGAGAGGAAGCCAUCUAGCUACUAGCUAUGGACCCGUAGUACUGUGGUAUAAUAUUCACGCUUCAUCGGAGAGGCAAUGGUGUUGAUGUAGAAGCCCUCUGCAAUCGAAUCCCCCUCCGACAGGAUGCCAGAAAAGGCCCCUAGAUGGGAUCUGAUAAUCCACAAGUAUAGGGGAUCGCAACAGUUUUUGAGGGUACAAUAUUCAACCCAAAUUUAUAGAUUCGACACAAGGGGAGCUAAAGAAUAUUUGAAGGUAUUAGCAGCUGAGUUGUCAAUUCAACCACACCUGGAGAUUAAUUAUGUGCAGCAAAGUGAUCAGUAGCAAAGUAGUAUGAUAGUUUUGAUAAUAGUGACAGCAGCAACGGUAACGGUAACAAUGAUAGCAGUAAUUUUGUAUUAAGUGUAACAGUGAUGACAGUAGUAGUAACUUAGCAGAACAAUAUAGGAUAAAUUUGUAGGCAUUGGAUCGAUGACUUGUUGGACGAUAUUCAUCAUGUGACAGUUAUAACCUAGAGCGAUAUGACACUAGCUCCAGUUCAUCGAUAUAAUGUAGGCAUGUACUCCGUAAAUAGUCAUACGUGCUUUAUUAAAAGAACUUGCAUGACAUGUUUUGUCCUACCCUCCUGUGGCAGCGGGGUCCAUAUUGGAAACUAAGGGAUAUUAAGGCCUCCUUUUAAUAGAGACCGGAACAAAGCAUUAACACAUAGUGAAUACAUGAAUUCCUCAAACUACGUUCAUCACUGGGAGUGGGCUUGGUUGUUGUCACUCCGGGGUUGCCGGAUCAUAACACGUAGUAGGUGACUAUAACUUGCAAGAUCGGACCUAAAACAUGGAUAUAAUGAUGAUAACAUAAAUGGUUCAGAUCUGAGUUCAUGGCACCCGGGCCCAAAGUGACAAGCAUUAAGCAUAGCAAAGUCAUAGCAACAUCAAUCUAGGAACAUAGUGGAUACUAGGGAUCAAGCCCUAACAAAACUAACUCGAUUAGAUGAUGAAUCUCAUCCAAAUCCUCACCGACCAGCGAUCCUACGAAGGAAUUACUCACUCCCGGUGGGGAGCAUCAUGGAAUUGGCGAUGGAGAAGGGUUGGUGAUGACGAAGAACGAAGAUCCCCCUCUCUGGAGCCCCAAACGGACUCCAGAUCUGCCCUCCCGAGGAAGAACGGGGCUUGGCGGCGGCUCCGUCUCGUGGAUCGCGAUAAUUCUUUCUCCCUGAUUUUUUCUGGAAUAAUGUGAUUUUAUAGCAUCGGAAUCAGGGUCUGCGGGGCCACUAGGUGGGGACAACCCAACUAGGCGCGCCAGGAGAGGGGGCGUGCCCUGGUGGGUUGUGCCCACCCAGGUUCCCCUCUCUGGCAGGUCUUGGCUCCAGAAAUUCUUAUUAUUGAUAUAAAAAAUCCUCGCAAAGUUUCGUUCCAUUUCGAGAACUUUUAUUUCUGCACAAAAACAACACCAUGGUAGUUCUGCUGAAAACAAUGUCCGUCUGGGGUUAGUUUCAUUCAAAUCAUGCAAAUUAGAGUCCAAAACAAGAGGAAAAGCGUUAGGAAAAGUAGAUACGUUGGAGACGUAUCAACUCCCCCAAGCCUAAACCUUUGCUUGUCCUCAAGCAAUUCAGUUGAUAAACUGAAAGUGAAAAAGAAAAACUUUUUACGAACUCUUUUGCUCUUGUUUGCAUAAAUAAGCUUAAACAGCACCCAGGUUUUCAACCAACAUGAUAACUAACCAUGCCUACAAUAACUCUUAAAGAUUAUAAUGACUCAUAUCAAUGACAUAAUCAGCUAGCGAGCAAUAAUAAGAUAUCUCAAACAGCAACACGUUGUCAAUACAACCAUGAUAUAAUAUGACAAUAGUGAUAUCUCACUAGCCCUUUCUGAGACCGCAAAACAUAAAUGCAGAGCACCUCCAAAGUUCAAGCAGCGACUAAACAUUGUAAUUCAUGGUAGAAAAGAUCCAGUCAUGAUGCACCCAACAUUAGCUACACACAAUGCAUAAAUCAUGACAACUGUGCUCUCUCAGUUUCUGGCGCUUGUUUAAGAAGGUGAUGACACAACAUAAAAGUAAAUAGAUAGUCCCUUCGCAGAGGGAAGCAGUGAUUUGCAGAGGUGCCAGAGAUCAAGUUUUAAAACAGAGGUAAAUGAUAUUUUGAGACAUGCACCUUUCUCAUUUACUUCAUGACAAUCAGUUAUCAAUAUCUUCCAUGCUAAGCACGCUAGUGGCGGUUCCCAAGCGAUAAAAGUAAAGGUUUUGACUCCAUUGGGAGUUUUUGUUUUAUUAUUUGAGAGAUUAACUCUUUUUCAUGUUUGCAGUUUGGGACUGGGCAUCCCUAUUACCGCCCUUUUCUCGUGCGAUGGCGAAUGAAUAAACACUCGACUUGAGAAUAACCCGCUUAGCAUGGAAGAUACCGACCACCUCCUGUCGUUCCAUGAACGAUCCAGGCACACAAAAAGGAUAAUUUUUUUAGAAGUUUUUAGAGGUGGCACAUGCAAAUUUACUUAGGACGGCAGGGUAAUACCGUAUAUAGGUAGGUAUGGUGGACUCAUCUGGAAGAACUUUGGGUUCAAGAUUUUUGAUGUACAAGCAGAGUUCCCACUUAGUACAGGCGAAGGCUAGCAAGAAGCGGCCAGCUAGAGAGCAACAGCGAUCAUAACCAUGCAUUAUGCAUAAGUAACAUUGGACACUAGCAUGAGUAGGAUAUGAACACCAUGAACAUAAAUAUCAUAGAGGCUAUGUUGGUUUUGAUUCAACUACAUGCAUGAACAUUUGCCAAGUCAAGCCACUCGAAGGUUCAGAGGAGGAUACCAUAUUAUCAUACCACAUCACAAUCAUUUUAACGCUAUGUUGAUAUCCAAGAUAAAUCAUUAUCAACUCCCAGCUAAUUAUGCAUGGCAUGAGAAACUAUAAUCUCUAAUUUUCAUUGCAAACAUGUUUAAUCAUAAUGGGCUGAAUCAUGGAUACUAGGUUAAACAUAUUUACACAAACAGAACAAGUCGAGUUCAUACCAGUUUCUCUCUGCCACGGCCAGUCAUCGGAUAUUGUCAUUAUUGCCUUUCACUUGCACGACCGAAUGAUAUGAAAAUAAUAAUAGUGCAAGAGUGUCGUGGACUAAGCUGAAAUCUGCAAACAUUUUAUUCAACAGGAGAAGACAAGGUAAAAUGUGCUCUUUAUUAGUUCAUUAAUUAUUCAUAUGAGAGCCAUUCAACAUUUUCAUCGUGGUCUUCUCCUCGGUACAACUCGAAUAAAAAGAAAAGAAAUUCAGAGAAACACACUGAAAUAUUUUUGGAGUUUAUGGUUUUCUUGAACAAGGAAAUAAAAGGGAAAAGCAAAAACGAGAAAAACUAUUUACAUGGGAAAGCUCCCAACAAGCAAAAGAAGAACAAGGAAAUCUUUUUGGAUUUUCUUUUUAACGCUACUACUAAGCAUGCAUAGAAAGUAAAUUACUACAACUAAUUUUUUUGGUUUUUCUAAAAAAAUUAAACACACAAGAAGAAAGCAAGAAAAUAAAUCUAAGCAUGGAUGAUACAAUGAAAAAGUGUGAACACCGACGAAUGGAAUGAUAUGUGGGAACAUGAAUAUAAAGUCGGUGGAAAACACAUACUCCCCCAAGCUUAGGCCUUUGGCCUAACUUGGUAGUCGAUGAGUAGCUUGGAGGGUAGUAGUCGGCGUGGUAGCUCACGGAGGCUCUUGGUGCGGACGCCUCGGCCUGCCGUGCUGCCUCUACUGCUACGUUGUGAGCUCGGGUCUCGCUCUCAAGAACAAAAUAUCUUCCUUUGCUGUGAUAGUCAAAAAGAGCAGGCGCAGGCAAAUAUGUGUGCACAACAGAUUUUUGAUUAAACAAUAGAUUAUAAGUGAAGUUAUCAACCUUUCCCUUGAGAAUCUUAUGUUCUUUUAAAGUGUCAAAAUCUAAAUAUUGCGUGGGUAGGAUAGGUCAAAGGGCAAAUGUGAAACACCCAGCCCUUGUGCUAAACGCGUGGCAUAAAUUCCACCAUAGAACCAGCCACUGUUAGUGUUAUGCUGAAGUCUACGUGCAACAAUAGCUCCAAGGUUAUAGUCUCCUUCACUAGUGAGAGCGGUGCGUAUGAGUCUCAAGUCUGGAGCACAAAGCGUACUGCAGUCCUGCUUGCCUACUAUACAUUUCCCGUUGAAUAAUGCAAAGUACUGAAUCGCGGGAAAAUGAAUGCUCUUUAUUCUACCUUGUGUCACUCCCCUCCUUUCACCAGAACAGAGACUAGUCAAAAAUGUUUCGAACUCAGCCUUUGGUGGUUCGUCAAGCGAACCCCAAAAUGGAAGCUUGUAGUGAUGAGCAAAAUUCUCUAGUGAGAUGGUAAAUGGACUAUCAUAAAGCAUAAACGACACCCUAGACUCACGGGGAAAGAAUUUAAACUCUUUGACAAAUGAUUCAGUGAGAAGUUGGCGUUCUUCACACUUAUCUGAAAGGUAGGGACCGAGACCGGCAUUGUGAACAUAUUGCUCAAAUUCCUCCUUAAUGCCCACACGCAUCUAUAUUCAUAGCAAGGCCAUAAGCAUGUUUUGGUGGUGGCAUCUCGUGUGGAACUUUCACUUGAUUCAACAUAAGACCGGCGAGCGGAACUGUCACUAGAGGAUGUCGCCGAGGAUCGUCUCCUCGAAGAACUCCUUCCAAAUAGGUUCAUCAUGUCCACGUACAAUUAUCCGAAAAUAAAAAAUUUUGGGGUGACAAAAAUUAUCAACAAAACUUUAUAAAAUUGAUAGAAACUACUCAUAGGGAUACAUAGAGGCCAUAGCAAGCAUCCAAACUACUUAGAACACUAAGAAUUCAACAUGCAAGCUCAUCUACAGCAGCACCAAGAGUAGCUAAUUAUUCAAAAUAUAAACCGCUAAAAUAAAAACUAAUUGGACAAAUGGUGGAGUCACAUACCAAACAACAAUCCCCCGAAACAGUUUUGGAAAUGGAGUUUCGAGCAAAGAGAUCGAAAUCCGCGGGUUUGAGAGCAAGAAAACGGGAGAGAGCGCAAUGAAGAAUUUUUUCUGGAGGUAAGUGAUGAUGUGGGAUGAAGAGGUGAGUGAGGGGGCCCACGUGGGGACCACAACCCACCAGGGUCACCGGGCUGCAUGUGUGUUGAACGCGGAGGCACCGUUGUUCGGUGCUUAGAUCGGAUUCGGCCGCGAUCUGAAUCGCUUCGUGUACGACUCCACCAACCGCGUUCUUGCAACGCUUCCGCAUCGCGAUCUUCAAGGGUAUGAAGAUGCACUCCCUCUCUCUCGUUGCUAGCAUCUCCUAGAUUGAUCUUGGUGACACAUAGGAAAAUUUUGAAUUUCUGCUACGUUCCCCAACAGUGGCAUCAUGAGCUAGGUCUAUGCGUAGAUUCUAUGCACGAGUAGAACACAAAGUAGUUGUGGGCGAUGAUUUGUUCAAUUUGCUUGCCGUUACUAGUCUUAUCUUGAUUCGGCGGCAUUGUGGGAUGAAGCGGCCCGGACCGACCUUACAUGUACACUUACGUGAGACAGGUUCCACCGACUGACAUGUACUUGAUGCAUAAGGUGGCUAGCGGGUGUCUGUCUCUCCCACUUUAGUCGGAUCGGAUUCGAUGAAGAGGGUCCUUAUGAAGGGUAAAUAGAAAUUGGCAUAUCACCGUUGUGGCUUUUGCGUAGGUAAGAAACGUUCUUGCUAGAAACCCAUAGCAGCCACGUAAAACAUGCAACAACAAUUAGAGGACGUCUAACUUGUUUUUGCAGGGUAUGCUAUGUGAUGUGAUAUGGCCAAAAGGAUGUGAUGAAUGAUAUAUGUGAUGUAUGAGAUUGAUCAUGUUCUUGUAAUAGGAAUCACGACUUGCAUGUCGAUGAGUAUGACAACCGGCAGGAGCCAUAGGAGUUGUCUUAAUUUAUUGUAUGACCUGCGUGUCAAUGAAAACGCCAUGUAAUUACUUUACUUUAUUGCUAACCGUUAGCCAUAGUAGUAGAAGUAAUAGUUGGCGAGACAACUUCAUGAAGACACGUUGAUGGAGAUCAUGAUGAUGGAGAUCAUGGUGUCAUGCCGGUGACGAAGGUGAUCAUGCCGCGCCUCGAAGAUGGAGAUCAAAAGGCGCAAGAUGAUAUUGGCCAUAUCAUGUCACUUUAUGAUUUGCAUGUGAUGUUUGUCAUGUUUACAUCUUAUUUGCUUAGAACGACGGUAGCAUAAAUAAGAUGAUCCCUCUCUAAAAUUUCAAGUAUGUGUUCCCCCUAACUGUGCACCAUUGCGAAGGAUCGUUGUUUUGAAGCACCACGUGAUGAUCGGGUGUGAUAGAUUCUAACGUUCGCAUACAACGGGUGUAAGCCAGAUUUACACAUGCAAAACACUUAGGUUGACUUGAUGAGCCUAGCAUGUACAGACAUGGCCUCGGAACACAAGAGACCGAAAGGUCGAACAUGAGUCGUAUAGCAGAUACGAUCAACAUGAAGAUGUUCACCGAUGAUGACUAGUCCGUCUCACGUGAUGAUCGGACACGGCCUAGUUGACUCGCAUCAUGUAUCACUUAGAUGACUAGAGGGAUGUCUAUCUGAGUGGGAGUUCAUUAAAUAAUUUGAUUAGAUGAACUUAAUUAUCAUGAAUAUAGUCAAAAGGUCUUUGCAAAUUAUGUCAUAGCUUACGCUUUAGUUCUACUAAGAUAUGUUCCUAGAGAAAAUUUAGUUGAAAGUUGAUAGUAGCAAUUAUGCGGACUGGGUCCGUAAACUGAGGAUUGUCCUCAUUGCUGCACAGAAGGCUUAUGUCCUUAAUGCACCGCUCGGUGUGCUGAAAGUCGAGCGUCGUUUGUGGAUGUUGUGAACAUCUGACAUACACGUUUUGAUGACUACGUGAUAGUUCAGUGUGUGAUGCUAACUGUUUAAAAUUGUGGCACCAAAGACGGUUUUGAAACGUCGCAGAACAUAUGAGAUGUUCCAAAGACUGAAAUUGGGAUUUCAGACUAGUGCCCACGUCAAGAGGUAUGAGACCUCUGACAAGUUUCUUAAGCCUGCAAACUAAGGGAGAAAAGCUCAAUCGUUGAGCAUGUGCUCAGAUUGUCUGAGUACUACAAUCGCUUGAAUCGAGUGGGAGUUAAUCUUCCAGAUGAGAUAGUGAUGGUUCUCCAUAGUCACUGACACCAAGCUAUUAGAGCUUCGUGAUGAACUAUAACAUAUCAGGGAUAGACAUGAUGAUCCUUGAGCAACUCGCGAUGUUUGACACCGCGAAAGUAGAAAUCAAGUAGGAGGAUCAAUUGUUGAUGGUUAGUAAAACCACUAGUUUCAAGAAGGGCAAGGGCAAGAAGGGAUACUUCAUGAAACGGCAAAUCAGUUGCUGCUCCAGCGAAGAAACCCAAGGUUGAACCCAAACCCGAGACUAAGUGCUUCUGUAAUGAGGGGAACGGUCACUGAAGCAGAACUACCCUAGAUACUUGGUAGAUGAGAAGGCGGGCAAGGUCGACAGAUGUAUAUUGGAUAUACAUUAUAUUAAUGUGUACUUUACUAGUACUCCUAGUAGCACCAGGGUAUUAGAUACCGGUUUGGUUGCUAAGUGUUGGUAACUCGAAAUAAAAGGCUACGGAAUAAAGGGAGACUAGCUAAAGGUGAGAUGAUGAUAUGUGUUGGAAGUGUUUCCAAGGUUGAUGUGAUCAAACAUCGCACGCUCCCUCUACCAUCGAGAUUGGUGUUAAACCUAAAUAAUUGUUAUUUGGUGUUUGCGUUGAGCAUAGACAUGAUUAGAUUAUGUUUAUCGCAAUACGGUUAUUCAUUUAAGGAGAAUAAUGGUUACUCUGUUUAUUUGAAUAAUACCUUCAAUGGUCUUGCACCUAAAAUGAAUGGUUUAUUGAAUCUCGAUCGUAGUGAUACACAUGUUCAUGCCAAAAGAUAUAAGAUAGUAAUGAUAGUACCACAUACUUGUGGCACUGCCAUUUGAGUCAUAUUGGUAUAAAACGCAUGAAGAAGCUCCAUGUUGAUGGAUCUUUGGACUCACUCGUUUUUUGAAAAGUUUGAGACAUGCGAACCAUGUCUAUUGGUUUAUACGCAUGAAGAGACUCCAUACAGAUGGAUCGUUUGGACUCACUUGAUUUUGAAUCACUUGAGACAUGCAAAUCAUACCACAUGGGCAAGAUGACUGAAAGGCCUCGUUUUCAGUAAGAUGAAACAAGAGAGCAACUUGUUGGAAGUAAUACAUUUGAUGUGUGCAGUCCAAUGAGUGCUGAGGCAUGCAGUGGAUAUCGUUAUGUUCUUACUUCACAGAUGAUUUGAGUAGAUGCUGAGUAUAUUUACUUGAUGAAACACAAGUCUGAAUUAUGGAAAGGUUCAAGUAAUUUCAGAGUGAAGUUGAAGAUCGUCGUGACAAGAGGACAAAAUGUCUGUGAUAUGAUCAUAGAGAUGAAUAUCUGAGUUACGAGUUUGGCACACAAUUAAGACAUUGUGGAAAUUGUUUCACAACUAAUACCGCCUGGAACACCAUAGUGUGAUGGUGUGUCCGAACAUCAUAACUGCACCCUAUUGGAUAUGGUGCAUACCAUGAUGUCUCUUAUCAAAUUACACUAUCGUUUAUGGGUUAGGCAUUAGAGACAACCGCAUUCACUUUAAAUAGGGCACCACACAACUCCGUUGAGACGACACCGUAUGAACUAUGGUUGAGAGAAACCUAAGCUGUCGUUUCUUAAAAGUUUGGGGCUGCGACGCUUAUGUGAAAAAGUUUCAGGCUGAUAAGCUCGAACCCAAAGCGGAUAAAUGCAUCUUCAUAGAAUACCCAAAACAGUUGGGUAUACCUCCUAUUUCAGAUCUGGAAGCAAAAGUGAUUGUUUCUAGAAACGGGUCCUUUCUCGAGGAAAAAUUUCUCUCAAAAGAAUUGAGUGGGAGGAUGGUGGAGACUUGAUGAGGUUAUUGAACCAUGACUUCAACUAGUGUGUAGCAGGGCACAGGAAGUUGUUCCUGUGGCACCUACACCAAUUGAAGUGGAAGCUUAUGAUAGUGAUCAUGAAACUUCGGAUCAAGUCACUACCAAACCUCGUAGGUCGACAAGGAUGCGUACUACUUCAGAGUGGUACAUAAUCCUGUCUUGGAAGUCAUGUUGCUAGACAACAAUGAGCCUACGAGCUAUGGAGAAGCGAUGGUGGGCCCGGAUUCUGAUGAAUGGCUCGAGGCCAUAAAAUCCGAGAGAGGAUCCAUAUAUAAAAACAAAGUAUAGACUUUGGAAGAACUACUUGAUGGUCGUAAGGCUGUUGGGUGCAGAUGGAUUUUAAAGGGAAAACAGACAAUGAUGGUAAGUAUCACCAUUAAGAAAGCUCGACUUGUCGUUAAGAUAUUUUCUGACAAGUUCAAGGAGUUGACUACGAUGAGACUUUCUCACUCGUAGCGAUGCUAAGAGUCUGUUGGAAUUAUAUUAGCAGUUACUGCAUUAUUUAUGAAAUCUUGCAGAUAGGAUGUCAAAAACAUUGUUUCCUCGACGAUUUUCUUGAGGAAAGGUUGUAUGUGAUACAACCAGAAGGUUUUGUCAAUCCUGAAAGAUGCUAACAAGUAUGCAAAGCUCCAGCAAUCCUUCUAAGGACUAAGCAUCUCAGAGUUGGAAUGUACGCUUUGAUGAGAUGAUCAAAGAUUUUGGGUUUUUACAAAGUUUAUGAGAAACUUGUAUUUCCAAAGAAGUGAAUGGGAGCACUAUAGAAUUUUUUGAUGAGUAUAUGUUGUUAACAUAUUGUUGAUCAGAAAUGAUGUAGAAUUUCUGGAAAGCAGACAGGGUUAUUUGAAAAGUGUUUUUAAUGGAAAACCUGGAUUAAGCUACUUGAACAUUGAGCAUCAAGAUCUAUAAGGAUAGAUCAAAAACGCUUAAUAGUACUUUCAAAUGAAUACAUACCGUGACAAGAUUUUGAAGGAGUUCAAGAUAGAUCAGCAAAGAAGGAGUUCUUGGCUGUGUUACAAGCUGUGAGUAUUGAGUAAGACUCAAGACCUAACCACGGCAGAAGAGGGAGAAAGGACGAAGGUCGUCCCCUAUGCUUUAGACGUAGGCUCUACAGUAUGCUAUGCUGUGUGCCGCACCUGAAGUGUGACUUGCCAUGAGUCAGUCAAGGGGUACAAGAGUGAUCCAGGAAUGGAUCACAUGACAGCGGUCGAACUUAUCCUUAGUAACUAGUGUACUAAGGAAUUUUCUCGAUUAUGGAGGUGGUAAAAGAGUUCGUCGUAAAGGGUUACGUCGAUGCAAACUUUGACACUAAUCCGGAUGACUCUGAGUAGUAAACCGGAUUCGUAUAGUAGAGCAGUUAUUUGGAAUAGCUCCAAGUAGCGCGUGGUAGCUGCAUCUACAAGAUGACAUAGAGAUUUGUAAAGCACACAUGGAUCUGAAAGGUUCAGACCCGUUGACUAAUAACCUCUCUCACAAGCGAGAUAUGAACUAACCCCAUGGGUGUUGGAUUCGUUACAAUCACAUAGUGAUGUGAACUAGAUUAUUGACUCUAGUGCAAGUGGGAGACUGUUGGAAAUAUGCCCUAGAGGCAAUAAUAAAAUGGUUAUUAUUGUAUUUCCUUGUUCAUGAUAAUUGUCUAUUGUUCAUGCUAUAAUUGUAUUAACUGGAAACCGUAAUACAUGUGUGAAUACAUAGACCACAACAUGUCCCUAGUAAGCCUCUAGUUGACUAGCUCGUUCAUCAAUAGAUGGUUAUGGUUUCCUGACCAUGGACAUUGGAUGUCAUUGAUAACGGGAUCACAUCAUUAGGAGAAUGAUGUGAUGGACAAGACCCAAUCCUAAGCAUAGCACAAGAUCGUGUAGUUCGUUUGCUAAGAGCUUUUCUAAUGUCAAGUAUCAUUUCCUUAAAAAGACCAUGAGAUUGUGCAACUCCCGGAUACCAUAGGAAUGCUUUGGGUGUACCAAACGUCACAACGUAACUCGGUGGCUAUAAAGGUACACUACAAGUAUCUCCGAAAGUGUCUGUUGGGUUGGUACGAAUCAAGACUGGGAUUUGUCACUCCGUAUGACGGAGAGGUAUCUCUGGGCCCACUCGGUAAUGCAUCAUCAUAAUGAGCUCAAUGUGACUAAGUAGUUAGUCACGGGAUCAUGCAUUACGGAACGAGUAAAGUGACUUGUCGGUAACGAGAUUGAACGAGGUAUUGGGAUACCGGCGAUCGAAUCUCGGGCAAGUAACAUACCGAUAAACAAAGGGAAUUGUAUACGGGAUUGAUUGAAUCCCCGACAUCGUGGUUCAUCCGAUGAGAUCAUCGUGGAACAUGUGGGAGCCAACAUGGGUAUCCAGAUCCCGCUGUUGGUUAUUGGCCGGAGAACGUCUCGGUCAUGUCUGCAUGGUUCCAGAACCCGUAGGGUCUACACACUUAAGGUUCGAUGACGCUAGGGUUAUAGGGAAUAGAUAUACGUGGUUACCGAAUGUUGUUUGGAGUCCCGGAUGAGAUCCCGGACGUCACGAGGAGUUCCGGAAUGGUCCGGAGGUAAAGAAUAAUAUAUAGGAAGUGAGGUUUUGGCCACCGGAAGAGUUUCGGGCGUCACCGGUAAUGUACCGGGACCACCGGAGGGUUCCGGGGUUCCACCGUGAGGGGCCACCAACCCCGGAGGCCUGCGUGGGCCAAGUGUGGGAAGGGACCAGCCCCUGAGUGGGCUGGUGCGCCUCCCACUAGGGCCCAAGGCGCAGCUUGGAGGGGAAAGGGGGAAACCCUAGGCGCAGAUGGGCCUAAGGCCCACCCUAGGGCGCGCCCCCUUUCUCCCCCUCUUGGCCGCCCCUCCAUCCCAUCUAGGGCUGCCGCCCCCCCUAGGGGUGGGAACCCUAGAGGGGGCGCACCCUCCUCCCCUCCUCCUAUAAAUAGUGGGGGUUUUGGGGCUGCAGAAGACAUGAGUCUCCCUCUCUCUUGGCGCAGCCCUACCCCUCUCCCUCCUCGACUCUCGCAGUGCUUGGCGAAGCCCUGCUAGAGUGCUACGCUCCUUCAUCACCACCAUGCCAUUGUGCUGCUGCUGGACGGAGUCUUCCCUAACCUCUCCCUCUCUCCUUGCUGGAUCAAGGCAUGGGAGACGUCACCGGGCUGCAUGUGUGUUGAACGCGGAGGCACCGUUGUUCGGUGCUUAGAUCGGAUUCGGCCGCGAUCUGAAUCGCUUCGUGUACGACUCCACCAACCGCGUUCUUGCAACGCUUCCGCAUCGCGAUCUUCAAGGGUAUGAAGAUGCACUCCCUCUCUCUCGUUGCUAGCAUCUCCUAGAUUGAUCUUGGUGACACGUAGGAAAAUUUUGAAUUUCUGCUACGUUCCCCAACAAUGUUGUCCUCCUCGGGCAUCUCAAGUAUAACAAAGUCAAUCAAAAUAGUAACAUCAGCAACAACAACGGGCACAUCCUCACAAAUACCAAUAGGUAUGGCCGUUGAUUUGUCAGCCAUUUUGUGACGCCCCGAGACCGACGCUUCUGACGCCUUCCUUGUUUUCGUUGUCGCCGUGUGUUUUAUUUGUUUGUUGCAUUCAUCAUCGCAUUGCAUCCGCAUGUUUUCAUAAAACUUGUAGUUGCUCGUAGUUGCCGCAUUCCCCUUGCCUUCGUUGACCGUUCCGAGACCAACCAGAUUUUGUUUCCCUCUUGCAUGGCUUCCUAACCUCUCUGCACACCCUGCAAACCCCUCGCGUGCGCAUCCGAAACUUCUCCGAACCCGACCCAAGCAGUCAUGACCGAUGGGGCCGGAUCAUCCUCCAACAUCUAUAAAACAUCUCCAUUUUCUUAUUUGGACUCCCCCAACAUAAUUGUCUCGACCAUCCAAUUUAAAUCGGAAGGUCCUAACCUAGUUCUGUUUCCCUAUAUAUAGUCCACCCACUUACCAAAUCAGUCUAACCCUAGCCUAACCCUAUUCCCCCUUGCGCCGCCACCCACUCUCGCAUGUUCCUCGGGAUCCUUCCCCGACCAACCCCCUUCUUCCUCGGAUUCCUCCCGAUCUCUCCACCCAACCAGCGAGCCUCCUCUCGAUCCCUCCCAAAUCAAUCGCAGCAGCCUCGCUCUGUUCGAGAGGAGAUCAGCCCCGAGACUUCCUUGCCUCGUCGCCCGCCCGCAUGCUCGAGGACGCUCGAGGCCGUGCCUCCUCUUCAAUCCUCUGCUCGAUCUCGAGUGGAUCGUAAGCACCAGCGCCUCCCCGCCGCCUUGCGCGUCGACGCCGCCGGCGACAACAGCAGCAGCAGGUCAUGCCGCCGGCCUCAUCCCGCUCCUCUCCUCCCCUGUAUCUCCCUUCCUCCCCGUGCUUCUCUCUCUCACGUCUCCCUCUCGUUUCUCUGGCAGGAAACCCCAUGACCGCGCCUGACCUACGCCAAGCUCCGCCGCCGCCGUCCCGUGCGCGCCUCCAGUCUUCCCCGCCUGGAUCUGGCGCCCUUCGUCCAUCCUCGCAGGAGUCGCACCAAGUUCCCCUGCAUCGAGCGGGACAACCCCGCGUUGACCCCGCGCCUCGCCCGUUCCAGUCGAGACGCUCGAACCUCCUCUGCUUCCCUCUCGCCCGCACGUGCCGCAUCGACCUCCCCUGCUCCGUUCAUCGUCGUCUCUGCCAGAUCCGGCGAGUCCCUGCACCCCGGCCUUGUCCCUGGCUCCAGGUCGCCGCGCCACCCCACCGGAGACCGCCAAGUCCAUCGCCGACCUCCCCUGCUUCUGCGUGCGAGCACGCGAGGACGAUGACCGCAGCGCCAAGUCCCGCUCGGUUCAGCCCGCUCCGUUGACCGCGCCUUCCUCACCCGCGUGGACCGCUCCAUGCCUCCAGGCUCAGCUGGGCUUGGCCCAAUGUGAGCAACCCUCGCCCAGAUCCAGAUUCAUCCCAGUGCAUGUUUUUUCCUUCCUGCGAAUUUGUCUAAUUAUCCAGAGUUGGUAGAAUUGCAGAAAAACCCUCUAACUUCAUGCAUAUAAUUACUCAUGAACUAUGUAUCAUAUGUAAAUAAUUUAUAUAUGCAAAAUGCUUAGAAUUUUAUCUAGUUUCAUAAUAUGCUGCUUUCAUCCAUGUUUAAAAUGUUUAAACUUGUUGUUUGUUUAAUUUUACAUAAAUGCCAUGUUAAAAUGAUUUAUUUCAUAACUAAUUAACCGUAGCUCCAAAUUUAAUAAACUUUAUAUGUAAAUGGGGUAGAAAAAUGCAUAGAUUAACAUGGUGUACUUUUUGUACUGUUUAAUAACAUUAAAAUAUGUUUUAGGGCAGAACAGUAGCUAAUUCGAAAAAUGGACAUGGGGAUUUUCCAGAAUUGUUGUUUGUUGUUCCGGCCUCAUUUAAACUUGCCUAGAUAGGUAGUUUUCAUAUGCUUCACCCCUUUGCCAUGUUUAAUAACAUUUAAUAUUGUUGGGUACAUAACCGAGAGAGAACUAAAUAAUUGAUGUGGUGUUUCUUCAAUAUGCAAUUCAUUGCAUAUUGCGCUCCACCUAAUUUGUAGUAUUGUUUGUGCACUUUGCCAUGCCAUGCCUCAUUAAACCGGACAUGCAUCAUACUUGAUUGUGCAUCAUGCCAUGUUUAUGUGAUGCUUGUUUAGCAUGUUGAUUGCUUCUUUCCGGUUUGCUUCUCUCGUUAGCUUCGGUUUCGUUCCGGAGUUGUGAGGAUUCGUUCGACUACGUCCGCUUGUCUUCUUCAUGGACUCGUUCUUCUUCCUUGCGGGAUCUCAGGCAAAGAUAACCAUUACCCUCGAUAUCACUUCUAUCUUUACUUGCUAGUUGUUCGUUCUAUCGCUAUGUUGCGCUACCUACCACUUUUUUAUCAUGCCUCCCAUAUUGCCAUGUCAAGCCUCUAACCCACCGUCCUAGCAAACCGUUGUUUGGCUAAGUUACCGCUUUUGCUCAGCUCCCUCUUAUAGCGUUGCUAGUUGCAGGUGAAGAUGAAGCUGGUUCCAUGUUGGAACAUGAUGAUGUUGGGAUAUCACAAUAUCUCUUAUUUUAAUGAAUGCAUCUAUAUACUUGGUAAAGGGUGGAAGGCUCAACCUUAUGCCUGGUGUUUUGUUCCACUCUUGACGCCCUAGUUUCCGUCAUACCGGUGUUAUGUUCCUUGAUUUUGCGUUCCUUACGCGGUUGGGCUUAUGGGACCCCCUUGACAGUUCACUUUGAAUAAAACUCCUCCAGCAAGGCCCAACCUUGGUUUUAACAUUUGUCACCUAAGCCUUUUUCCCUUGGGUUCUAUAGACUCAAGGGUCAUCUUUAUUUUAACCCCCCCCCCCCGGGCUAGUGCUCCUCUGAGUGUUGGUCCAAACUACAGCCCUUUGCAGCGCCACCUCGGGGAAACUUGAGGUCUGGUUUUAGUUGUACGGAUUGCUCAUCCGGUGUGCCCUGAGAACGAGAUAUGUGCAGCUCCUAUCGGGAUUUGUCGGCACAUUCGGGUGGUCUUGCUGGUCUUGUUUUACCAUUGUUGAAAUGUCUUGUAACCGGGAUUCCGAGUCUGAUCGGGUUAUUCCGGGAGAAGGAAUAUCCUUCAUUGAUCGUGAGAGCUUGUGAUGGGCUAAGUUGGGACACCCCUGCAGGGUAUAAACUUUCGAAAGCCGUGCCCGCGGUUAUUUGGCAGAUGGAAAUUUUCUAAUCUCCAGUUGUAGAGAACUUGACACUUGACUUAAUUAAAAUGCAUCAACCGCGUGUGUAGCCGUGAUGGUCUCUUUUCGGCGGAGUCCAGAAAGUGAACACGGUUUGGGUUAUGUAUGAACGUAAGUAGUUUCAGGAUCACUUUUUGAUCACCCCUAGCUUCUUGACCGUUGCAUUGCUUCUCUUCUCGCUCUUAUUUGCGUGUGUUAGCCACCAUAUAUGCUUAGUUCUUGCUGCAGCUCCACCCCAUUACCCCAUCCUACCCAUAAGCUUAAAUAGUCUUGAUCUCGCGGGUUUUGAGAUUGCUGAGUCCUCGUGACUCACAGAUACUACGAAAACAGUUGCAGGUGUCGACGAUACCAUUGCAGGUGACGCAACCGAGUUCAAGUGGGAGUUCGACGAGGACCUUGGUCAUUCCUAUGUUUUCUUUUCCUGUUGAUCAGUAGUGGAGCUCAGUUGGGACGAUCGGGGAUCUAGCAUUUGGGGUUAUCUUCUUUUCUUUUGUAUUUGAGCGUAGUCGGUCUAUGUGUGUACUCUGAUGAUGUAUGAUUUCCUUAAGUAUUGUGUGAAGUGGCGAUUAUAAGCCAACUCUUUAUCCCAUUCUUGUUCAUUACAUGGGAUUGUGUGAAGAUGACCCUUCUUGCGACAAAACCACCAUGCGGUUAUGCCUCUAAGUCGUGCCUCGACACGUGGGAGAUAUAGCCGUACCGUGGGUGUUACACAUUUGCAAAGAUAUUUCAGUAGGUGUGAGUUUAUUCAAGUCAAGUCUUUUAUAUAAAGAUAAAGGCAUAACACUAACACCAGCUCCUAAAUCACACAAAGCAGUUUUCACAUAAUUCUUUUUGAUAGAGCAAGGUAUAGUUGGUAUUCCCGGAUCUCCAAGUUUUUUGUAACAUCCCAAAUUUUCAAUUUGGAAUGUUAUACAUAGAUCAUACAAUGCAUAGCAUAUUUUUCUUGCAUUUUGACAAAUCCUCGAUAAAUCCUAAGCAACUCAAGGACCCUCAGAGAGAGUUGGGGAUUUUCUCGAUUUUUCAUAUUUGAUUUUAUCAAAUAAUAAAACGAGGAUUUUGGUUUUAAUUAUUUUCUCUCCGGGAAAAAUAUUUCAUUAAAAAAUAAACGAGAGGAGAAAAUAUGACUUCUCCAAAACAAUUGAAAUACUGGAGGAAAAAUAUUAAAAUCAUAUAUUGGAUUUUAUCCGGAUUUUAUUUGCAAUUUUAAUUGCAUUAAAAAAUUGCACGUUUUCAAAACAGCAUUUUUGUGUCAAAAAAAUGUUCACCCUGUUCUAAUUAUUUUAACUAGACGGGGAAAAUUUGUUUUAUAUUUUUUUGGAUUUUUAUUUAUUUUUCUAUGAAUUCUUUUCGGCGGAAUGUUUAAAAAAAACGCGCCGCGCCCGACCGGGCGGAGGCCCAGCCGAGCGGCCGGCCCAGCCGCGUCNNNNNNNNNNNNNNNNNNNNNNNNNNNNNNNNNNNNNNNNNNNNNNNNNNNNNNNNNNNNNNNNNNNNNNNNNNNNNNNNNNNNNNNNNNNNNNNNNNNNNNNNNNNNNNNNNNNNNNNNNNNNNNNNNNNNNNNNNNNNNNNNNNNNNNNNNNNNNNNNNNNNNNNNNNNNNNNNNNNNNNNNNNNNNNNNNNNNNNNNNNNNNNNNNNNNNNNNNNNNNNNNNNNNNNNNNNNNNNNNNNNNNNNNNNNNNNNNNNNNNNNNNNNNNNNNNNNNNNNNNNNNNNNNNNNNNNNNNNNNNNNNNNNNNNNNNNNNNNNNNNNNNNNNNNNNNNNNNNNNNNNNNNNNNNNNNNNNNNNNNNNNNNNNNNNNNNNNNNNNNNNNNNNNNNNNNNNNNNNNNNNNNNNNNNNNNNNNNNNNNNNNNNNNNNNNNNNNNNNNNNNNNNNNNNNNNNNNNNNNNNGAAGCCCGCAGCGCCGCCGCCCCGCUCGCCGAACCCCGCCGCCGUUCGCCGCCCCAAGCCCGCCCGAGCCCCCGACGGAGCCCAGCCGAGCCCCGUCGGAGCCCCGUUCCGACGAGGUACCGACUCGCCGUCGUUUGCCGGUUUUCUAAAAAAAACCGUUCGUUUAAAAAAAACCUAGAUCGGUUUAUUUCUUCGGUUUUAUUAUUUAGUGAACAUUCACCGACCCGUUCGUUUUAACGAACGCGUUCGUCGGAUUUUCUCUGUUAACGAACGUCCGUUCGUUAACGUUCGUCAGUUUUCUUUUUCGUCAGAUUUUUCCGCGAUUAUCUCAGAUCUCGAUUUCUGAUCGGAUCUUCGUUUUCGUUUAACUUUUCGCUCGUUUAUCGGAAUCAGGCGAUUCAAGCGCCUAGAGUUUCGUCUCGAAAUUCUCUUUCUGUUUAACCUACUCAAACAAGUUUUUGCUACUGUAAAAUUUGACCUAGAUCCAGAUUAGUAAACGAAGCUUGUUUCUUUCGCCGUUUGACUUUCGUUGCUUCGUUCGAGUUGAUUCUUUUUGCAAACCGGAGUUCUUAAGUUGAACUUUCUGGUUGGAUCUUUCAUUCGAGUUUUACCUGUGUGCAUUAGAUGAGUACUUAUUGUUUGCUUGUUUGUUUGCGAUAGAGUACCCGGAGUGCGCCGCUUGUUACUUCGAAUCGCUAGGUUUCGCGGAUCAUCAGCAAGGCAAGUAACACUUUGAUCAUACCCUUCCAUACCCAGUUUUUAUUGCAUUAGAUCACUCCUCAAACACUGCAUGGUUAGGAUCUAAUUAAAUUGUGGGUUUUGGGAUGUAGUUGAGGUAGUACCUAUUACCUGUUUUAUUUAUCAAACCCUUGAGAGUUACUUCUACGUUGCUAUUAUAUUGCCAUGCUAUGCUCGUAGAUGUGGAUUGGGUUUGAGAGAUUUACAUGACAGAUGUGAGAUUGUUAAUUAAUGGUUUACUUAAGGUGGCAACUAAAAACUCACAUCUGGGUGGAUUGAGGUACCUGGGUAUUCCAGGAUUGCCUGUUUUUCUUUUGGACCGCCACCCAGGCUCAAAGGGAUCAUAAGGUUAUUCAUGCUAGAAACUUCCGUGUGCAGCCACAAGCUAUUAUGGGCUCUAGCAUAGUUGAUUAAGUUGUGUGAACACUUACAGUGGUAGACUAGCAGAUGUAGGGGAAAGUAGGUGUAACUGUCUACCCAUACGUAAGGUGCAAACACUCCUGAAAGACUGUGUCUCGAUCAUCCGUUACUCAAACACCAUGUAGUGCGAGUAAUCCAACGGAGGAGAUCGAGUCUUGUGGGGAAAAGUGCGCAAACCUCUGCAGAGUGUACAAACUAAUCAUGGUUAGCCGUGUCCCCGGUUAUGGACAACUUGAGUAUCUAGUACUUGGAUUAUCUUGUGAAUCUCAUCACCAUGUUACUUCUAAUUAAUUUUGUUGGGUUAAUGAUGAUUUUUUUAAUUGGGAUUGAGAUGCUGUCAACCAUCUCAAUGUAACAUCCCAAAUUUUCAAUUUGGAAUGUUAUACAUAGAUCAUCAUUUGCAUAUCAUGUUUUGUUGCAUUUUGACAAAUCCUCGAUAAAUCCUAAGCAACUCAAGGACCCUCGGAGAGAGUUGGGGAUUUUCUCGAAUUUUCUUAUUUGAUUUUUCAAACGAGGAUUGGGAUUUUAAUUAUUUUUCUCUCCGGAAAAAUAUUUCGAUUUUAAAUAAACGAGAGGAGAAAAUAUGACUUCCCCAAAAAACAUUGAAAUACUGGAGGAAAAAUGUUAAAAACAUUAUUUGGAAUUUAUUGGAUUUUAUUUGCAUUUUUAUUGCAUUUAAAAAUAUGCAUGUUUUCAAAAUAUUUAUUUUUGAUUUUAAAAAUGUUCACCCUAUUCUAGAUUUUCUAACAAGACGGGGAAAAUGUAUUUCAUAUUUUUCUGAUUUAUAUUUAUUUUUCUACGCAAUAUUUUCCGCGGAACUUAUUUUAAAAAAACGCGCCCGCGCCGGCUGGGCCGAGCCCAACCGACGGCCCGCCCGCGCUCUCCUUCCUCCCCACGACGCCGCCGGAGUCCGGGAGCGCCACGACGCCGCCGCCGCCUCGGUAGCCCCUUCCCCAAGCCGGAGCACCCCCCCUUCGUUUUCGCCAUCACCGCCGCCGGAGGAGCCCGCCGCCGCCGCCGCAUCUAGNNNNNNNNNNNNNNNNNNNNNNNNNNNNNNNNNNNNNNNNNNNNNNNNNNNNNNNNNNNNNNNNNNNNNNNNNNNNNNNNNNNNNNNNNNNNNNNNNNNNNNNNNNNNNNNNNNNNNNNNNNNNNNNNNNNNNNNNNNNNNNNNNNNNNNNNNNNNNNNNNNNNNNNNNNNNNNNNNNNNNNNNNNNNNNNNNNNNNNNNNNNNNNNNNNNNNNNNNNNNNNNNNNNNNNNNNNNNNNNNNNNNNNNNNNNNNNNNNNNNNNNNNNNNNNNNNNNNNNNNNNNNNNNNNNNNNNNNNNNNNNNNNNNNNNNNNNNNNNNNNNNNNNNNNNNNNNNNNNNNNNNNNNNNNNNNNNNNNNNNNNNNNNNNNNNNNNNNNNNNNNNNNNNNNNNNNNNNNNNNNNNNNNNNNNNNNNNNNNNNNNNNNNNNNNNNNNNNNNNNNNNNNNNNNNNNNNNNNNNNNNNNNNNNNNNNNNNNNNNNNNNNNNNNNNNNNNNNNNNNNNNNNNNNNNNNNNNNNNNNNNNNNNNNNNNNNNNNNNNNNNNNNNNNNNNNNNNNNNNNNNNNNNNNNNNNNNNNNNNNNNNNNNNNNNNNNNNNNNNNNNNGUUGACCGGUUUUCUGAAAAAAAAACCUUUUGUUUUAAAAAAAACCCUAGAUCGGUUUUUUUUUCGGUUUUCUUAUUUUACGAGCGUUCACCGAACCGUUCGUUUUAACGAACGCGUUCGUCGGUUUUUCUCUGUUAACGAACGUCCAUUAUUUAACCGUUCGUCCGUUUUUCUUUUUCGUCGGAUUUUCUCGUUAUUUUCUCAGAUUCGAUUUCUGAUCGAAUUUUCGAAUCUGUUUAACUUCUCGCUCGUUUAUCGGAAUCAGGCGAUUCAAGCGCCUAGAGUUUCGUCUCGAAAUUCUCUUUCCGUUUAACCUACUCAAACAAGUUUUUGCUACAGUAAAAAAUGACCUAGAUCCAGAUUAGCAAACGAAGUUUCUUUCUUUCGCCGUUUGACUUUCGUUGUUUCUUUCGAGUUGAUUCUUUUUGCAAACCGGAGUUCUUAAGUUGAACUUUCUGGUUGGAUCUUUCUUUCGAGUUUUACCUGUGCAUUAGAUGAGUACUGAUUGUAUGCUUGUUUGUUUGCGAUAGAGUACCCGGAGUGUGCCGCUUGUUACUUCGACUCGCUAGGUUUUGCGGAUCAUCAGCAAGGCAAGUAACACUUUGAUCAUACCCCGUUCAUACCCAUUUUUAAUGCAUUAGAUCUAUUCCUCACACAUUGCAUGAUUAGGAUCUAAUUAAACUGUGGGUAUUUGGGAAGUAGUUGAGGUAGUACCUAUUACCUGUUCAUAUAUCAAACCCUAGGGAGUUACUUCUACGUUGCUUUUAUUAUUGCCAUGCUAUGCUCGUAGACGUGGAUUGGGUUUGAGUGAAAUUCAUGACAGAUGUGAGUGUUUAAUAAUGGUUCAACUUAAGGUGGCAACUAAAACUCACAUCUGGGUGGAUUGAGGCACCUGGAGAACCCAGUGUUGUCUGUAUGUAUAAGGUCCGCCACCCAGGCUCAAAGGGAUCAUAAGAUUAUUCAUGCUAGAAACUUCCGUGUGCAGCCGCAAGCUAUUAUGGGCUCUAGCAUAGCUGAGUAGGUUACAGGAUCUCUUGAAGAGGUGGACUAGCAGAUGUAGGGGAAGUAGGUGUACCGGUCCAUCCAGAGUAGAGAGUGACUGUUUCUGAAAGACUGUGUCUCGGUCAUCCGUUUCUCAAACAACAUGCAGUGCGAGAAUCAAGCGGAGGCGAUCGAGUCUUGUGGGAAAAGUGCGCAAACCUCUGCAGAGUGUACAAACUGAUCAUGAUUAGCCGUGUCCCCGGUUAUGGACAACUUGAGUAUCUAGUACCUGGAUUAUCAUUUGAAUCUCAUCACCGUGAUACUUAUAAUUAAUUUUGUUGGGUUAAUGAUGUUACUUAAUUGGGAUUGAGUUGGAGGUACCUUCUCAAUGUUUCAACCACCAUGAUAGUUAAAUAAAAUUUAUUCCUUUGUAGUAGGAUAAAAUUGGCUUUUCACAAAAACUGUAACCAUAGAGCCUUUCCACCAGCCAUAUGUGCAUAUAGUAUAGCCUUAUCAUUGUUCAUUGUUCUCUAUGUCUUGCUUUGCCAGCAUAUUCUAUGUGCUGACCCGUUUCGGGCUGCAACGUUUCAUGUUGCAGACUUUUCAGACGACGAGUAAGGAUGCCUUAGGUCGUGGUCUUAUACUCAGUGAUGCCGCUGGAGUUGAUGGACUCACUUAUCUUCCAAGUCUUCCGCUGUUAUCGUUAUAGAUGGCCUUAAGCCAUGUUUAUCAUACUUAAUCUCUUUGGAGAUAUUCGAUGUAAUAAGUGUGUGAUUGCUACUCUGUUAUAAAUCCUCCAUUUGUACUGUGCGUGUCAGCAUUACUGAUCCAGGGAUGACACUGGUGCACAGCAGCACAGGCCAUUUGAGGUCUGGUCGCUACAAAGUUGGUAUCAGAGCACAUGCUGACUAUAGGAAACGACCACUAAGCUUAAGCCCUAGAAACUUCUCUCUUCUCAUUUCUGACUCCUCUCCACUUUCUACUCUUUUAGGAAUGGCGAAUGCAAGGAACAAGUUAAUGCAACCCGAUGAAGAUACGCCGUUUGGAUGACACUUGAAGGAAGUCACCAAGUACUUGAACAUAGGAAUACCAAGCGUCACCGGAACCUACAACGCUACCUUACCUGAAGAGGAGAGCUGGAAGAUUCAAGUUAUCAUUCCAGGAAGGACGUUUGCGCCAAUUACGGAACCCAUGAGAUUGGUUUUCGAAGCACCAACUUGGAGUUUAGGGAAGAGCAUGGCCGCACAUAUCGCCAUGGGACGCAUUGGAGAAGUCUAUCACCAGGAGCUUAAGGAUACAAUUUAUCAAAUUUGUGGACGUCGAGACGCGCAAUGGGAGAUGAUCAAGACCAAGAAGGAUGGAUCAAUUGCAGCUUUCAUCCAGGAGCAGAACCAACAUAUUCGACGCCAGGAGAACCAGAUGUGCACGGACAAGGAAGAACUGAAGAAGGCAUUCACGAAGAUCAAGGAGCUCCAAGAAGAACUCAAGGCUACACGCGAAGAUUAUUUGGAGGAAAUCAACGCACUAGUAGGGAAGAUUGAAGACCUGGAGAAUAAGAUUGGAGCAUUCGUGGGAAAUCCAGUGCCAAAAGCAGAAGUCGACGAAUGCACUUGUCCGGAUAACUACAUCAUCAUCGACGACACCGACUCGGAACCAAGUGAAGACGAAUGGAUUGAUGAAGCUGGAGCAGACAUCAUGGAGUCUUCAACGGAUCAGAAUUUUUAGUAGACUACCAUAUCAGUAGUAGUUUUUUCCCCAUUUAGUAGUAUAGCUCAAGCACUUUGUAACGCUAGAUAGAUUGAUUGUUUUGCCUUGUUUGGAUUGAUUGAGUGAUAUUGAUUGAAUUUGUCUCAUGAGCAUAUGGGUAGUGUUUCUCUCUAGACCUCAUUCUACUCUUAAAUCUCAUCUUUUCUAAAACCUAUCAGAUGCCUCCGAGACGCGACACCGGAUUUGUUUUUCCACCAGAGAUCACCCAGUUGAUUCAGCAACAGAAUGCCUUGAUGCAAGUGUUAGUUCAGAACCAAGGCAACAACAACAACAACCCACCGCCACCACCACCUGUUGAUCACUUAGCCCGUUUCUUAAGGCUAAACCCGCCGGUGUUUUCCAGUAGCACCGAGCCGAUAGUAGCAGAUGAUUGGCUCCGCAAAGUUGGAAGGGAGUUAACCACUGCAGGAUGCACAGAUGCGGAAAGAGUGCGUUUUGCCGCACAUCAGCUUGAUGGACCCGCAGCAUCAUGGUGGGAGAAUUAUACAGCCACGCACCCUAUUGACACUGUCACAUGGGACCAGUUUCAGCAAGCUUUUCGUACAGCUCAUGUUUCAGCAGGAGCUAUGGCUAUGAAGAAGCGUGAGUUUCGCAACCUACGCCAAGGAGGACGCACCGUAGGCCAGUAUGUGGAAGAUUUCAGUAAAUUAGCACGUUAUGCACCAGAUGACGUUGCUACGGAUGCUGCCAAGCAGGAGAAAUUUCUGGAAGGAUUGAAUGAUGAGCUGAGUAUGCAGUUGAUGGUAGCAACUUUCAACAACUACUAGGAGCUGGUAGAUAGAGCUCUCAUGAUUGAAGGGAAGCAACAGCAGAUUGAAAACCGCAAGAGGAAGUAUGGACAAGGGAAGUACAAUUCUGGAGCCCAGCAGAAGCCACGAUUUACCCCGAAGCCGGGAGGACAGUUUCAGCAUACCCAUGGAGGAGGUAGUUUGCACAACCAUAAUGGCUCCAAGAAUGGUAAUGGGAAUGGAGGAGGAAACGGACAGAACCGCACCAACCCAUCUACCCCAACCAAGAGAGAUCUAAGUCACAUUACUUGUUUCAAGUGCCAGAAGACGGGACAUUAUGCAACUGAUUGUCCCGAAGCCCAAAAUGGAAAUGGCAAUGGAAGCUCUGGGAAGAAGCCGAACCCGUUCAACAAAGGACAUGUGAACCACGUGAGCGUGGAGGAGAUUGAAGCUCAGCCUGAUGCAGUAAUAGGUAAGUUUUUGGUUAAGUCAUUUACUGCAACGGUUCUUUUCGAUACUGGUGCAUCGCAUUCAUACAUAUCAAGGGGAUUCGUAAACAAGUUUAAGAUGUCCACCCAAGUUCUCAAAACCCCUAUGUUAGUAACCUCGCCAGGAGCAGAGUAUAUGGCCACCCAAGGAUGUUUUCAGAUACCGUUGGCCAUUGGAAGGCAUGUUUUCCCCUCAGACCUCAUUGUUUUAGAAUCACAAGGUUUGGAUGUGAUUUUGGGAAUGGAUUGGCUAUCGUUGUAUGGAGGAAACAUCGAUUUUGCCAGCAAGACUAUUUUGCUUACCACCCCGGAAGGAAAAAGGAUCAAGUAUGAAUCCAGGCAUAUGCCGAAGAGGACUCAAGUGAAUUCCUUAUCAGGAGUUGUACAGGAGGAAGUACCAGUGGUGAAGGAUUACCCGGAUGUAUUUCCAGAAGAGUUGCCAGGCAUGCCACCAGAUAGAGACAUUGAGUUUUUGAUUGAACUUUUGCCAAGCACAGGGCCAAUAUCUAAGAGACCGUACAGGAUGCCCGCAAAGGAUUUGGAGGAAAUUAAGAAGCAGAUCAAGGAGUUACUGGAUAAAGGCUAUAUUCGCCCAAGUUCGUCACCUUGGGGAUCACCAGUACUUCUAGUGGAGAAGAAAGAUGGAUCACUAAGGAUGGUUGUUGACCGAGGAUUGAAUGAAGUGACCAUCAAAAACAAGUACCCACUGCCGAUGAUCAAUGAUUUGUUUGACCGCCUGCAAGGAGCUAAAGUAUUUUCCAAGAUCGAUCUACGAUCAGGGUACCAUCAGUUAAAGAUUCGAGAGCAGGAUAUACCCAAGACGGCAUUUACCACCAGAUAUGGAUUGUAUGAGUAUACCGUUAUGUCAUUUGGACUGACUAACGCACCGGCCUAUUUCAUGAACCUGAUGAACAAAGUGUUUAUGGAGUUUUUGGAUAAGUUCGUCGUUGUGUUCAUUGAUGAUAUUUUAAUCUUUUCCAAGGAUGAAGAAGAGCAUGAGGAGCAUUUACGAUUGGUACUUGAGAAGCUCAGGGAACAUCAGUUAUAUGCCAAGUUCAGCAAAUGUGAGUUUUGGUUGAAGGAAGUUGGAUUCCUUGGACAUGCUAUUUCUGGAGAAGGAAUAGCAGUAGACCCUGCCAAGGUUGACACGGUGACAAGUUGGGAAUCACCCACUACAGUUGGAGAAAUCCGGAGUUUUCUUGGACUCGCAGGAUACUACCGGAGAUUUAUCGAGAAUUUCUCAAGGAUUGCUAAGCCCAUGACUGAGCUAUUGAAGAAGGACACCAAAUUUAAUUGGACUGAGGAAUGUGAAGCUAGUUUCCAGGAGUUGAAGCAACGAUUGGUUACCUCACCCGUGUUGAUUCUGCCAGAUCAACGCAAGGACUAUGAAGUAUAUUGCGACGCUUCUCGUCGAGGACUUGGAGCAGUGCUUAUGCAGGAAGGAAGAGUUGUUUCGUAUGCUUCACGACAACUUAAACCCCAUGAGAAGAAUUAUGCUACGCACGAUUUGGAAUUAGCAGCCGUGGUGCAUGCAUUGAAAACAUGGAGACAUUUUCUCAUCGGAAACCAUUGUGAGGUGUACACGGAUCACAAGAGUUUGAAGUACAUUUUCACGCAGAAGGAGUUAAACCUCAGACAGAGGAGAUGGUUGGAGCUCAUCAAAUAUUAUGAUAUGAGAUUGCAUUAUCACCCUGGAAAGGCUAACGUAGUAGCAGACGCGUUGAGCCGCAAGAGUCAUGUCAACACCCUCAUGACAGGAGAGUUACCUCAGAAGUUAGCCGAGGACCUACGUGAGCUAUGUUUGGAGAUAGUCCCAAGGGGCUAUUUAGCGAUGUUGGCGUUUCAGUCUACCUUGAUGGAGAUGAUCAGAGAAGCUCAGAAGACAGACAAGGAGAUUAAAGAGAUAAAGGAGAAGAUGAGCAAAGGAAAAGCCAAGGGAUUUCGUGAGGAUGAGCACGAUACCUUAUGGUUCGAGGACCGCGUAUAUGUGCCAAAUGAUCCGGAGAUCAGGAAGUUGAUUUUGCAAGAAGCCCAUGAUUCACCGUACUCGAUUCACCCAGGGAAUACCAAGAUGUAUUUGGAUUUGAAGAAUACUUUCUGGUGGACCGGAAUGAAGAAGGAUAUUGCGGAGUAUGUAGCAGUUUGUGAUGUGUGUCAGAGAGUGAAGGCAGAGCAUCAAAAGCCAGCAGGAUUGCUACAACCAUUGCCGAUACCCGAAUGGAAGUGGGAUAAAAUAGGCAUGGAUUUUAUCACAGGAUUACCCAGGACCUGUUCAGGCUAUGACUCGAUAUGGGUUGUAGUCGACCGUUUGACGAAAGUGGCUCAUUUCAUUCCAGUGAAGACCACUUACAGCAGUGCUAAGUUGGCUAAGAUAUACAUGACCAGGAUAGUAUGUUUGCAUGGAGUUCCGAGGACCAUUGUAUCAGACAGAGGAACCCAAUUUACCUCGAAGUUUUGGAAGCAGUUACAUGAAACAUUGGGAACCAGGCUGGAAUUUAGUACAGCAUUUCACCCACAGACAGAUGGACAGACCGAGAGAGUCAACCAGAUUCUGGAGGACAUGUUGAGAGCAUGUGCACUAGAUUAUGGAUCUAGUUGGGACGACAAUUUGCCAUAUGCAGAGUUUUCAUAUAACAACAGUUAUCAAACCAGUUUGAAGAUGGCCCCUUUCGAAGCCUUGUACGGAAGGAGGUGUAGAACACCGUUGUUGUGGGACGAAGUUGGAGACCGUCAGUUGUUUGGACCAGAUUUGAUUAAGGAGUCUGAACAGAAAGUGAAGUUGAUUCGCGAUAGGCUCAAGGUAGCCCAGUCCAGGCAGAAGAGUUAUGCUGAUUCUAAACGCAAGGAGAUAGUUCACGAAAUCGGAGACAGGGUGUAUCUUCGAGUAUCACCACUACGAGGAGUAAAGCGCUUUGGAGUUAAGGGACAGUUAGCGCCUCGUUUUAUCGGACCAUACAGAGUGUUGGAACGUAUGGGAGAAGUUGCCUACAAGCUGGAAUUGCCCGAAGGAUUGUCUGAAGUACAUGAUGUAUUUCACGUUUCGCAAUUGAAGAAGUGCCACGCAGAGAUGGCUGAGAUACCACUAAGAGAUACUGUGCCACUGGAAGCGAUUCAGUUGGAAAGUGAUUUGACCUAUGAGGAGAAGCCAGUUAAGAUUCUCGAGUAUGCCAGCCGAGUUAACCGCAGCAAGGUUAUCAAGUUUUGCAAAGUUCAGUGGAGUCACCACACAGAAGAUGAGGCCACCUGGGAGCGAGAGGAAGAUCUACGGAAAAACCACUCCCACCUGUUUUCUAGCCAACCCGAAUCUCGAGGGCGAGAUUCAUCUUAAGGGGGGUAGGUUUCUAACAUCCCAAAUUUUCAAUUUGGAAUGUUAUACAUAGAUCAUCAUUUGCAUAUCAUGUUUUGUUGCAUUUUUACAAAUCCUCGAUAAAUCCUAAGCAACUCAAGGACCCUCGGAGAGAGUUGGGGAUUUUGUCGAAUUUUCUUAUUUGAUUUUUCAAACGAGGAUUGGGAUUUUAAUUAUUUUUCUCUCCGGAAAAAUGUUUCAAUUUUAAAUAAACGAGAGGAGAAAAUAUGACUUCCCCAAAAAACAUUGAAAUACUGGAGGAAAAAUGUUAAAAACAUUAUUUGGAAUUUAUUGGAUUUUAUUUGCAUUUUUAUUGCAUUUAAAAAUAUGCAUGUUUUCAAAAUAUUUAUUUUUGAUUUUAAAAAUGUUCACCCUAUUCUAGAUUUUCUAACUAGACGGGGAAAAUUUAUUUCAUAUUUUUCUGAUUUAUAUUUAUUUUUCUACGUAAUAUUUUCCGCGGAACUUAUUUAAAAAAAAUGCGCCCGCGCCGGCUGGGCCGAGCCCAACCGACGGCCCGCCCGCGCUCUCCUUCCUCCCCACGACGCCGCCGGAGUCUGGGAGCGCCACGACGCCGCCGCCGCCUCGGUAGCCCCUUCCCCAAGCCGGAGCACCCCCCCCCUCCGUUUUCGCCAUCACCGCCGCCGGAGGAGCCUGCCGCCGCCGCCGCAUCUAGCCGCCNNNNNNNNNNNNNNNNNNNNNNNNNNNNNNNNNNNNNNNNNNNNNNNNNNNNNNNNNNNNNNNNNNNNNNNNNNNNNNNNNNNNNNNNNNNNNNNNNNNNNNNNNNNNNNNNNNNNNNNNNNNNNNNNNNNNNNNNNNNNNNNNNNNNNNNNNNNNNNNNNNNNNNNNNNNNNNNCCCGCCCGCCGGAGCCCCGCCACGAGGUACUGCCGCCGGCCGUCUUCAACGUUGACCGGUUUUCUGAAGAAAAAAACCUUUUGUUUUUUAAAAAAAAAACCCUAGAUCGGUUUUUUUUCGGUUUUCUUAUUUUACGAGCGUUCACCGAACCGUUCGUUUUAACGAACGCGUUCGUCGGUUUUUCUCUGUUAACGAACGUCCGUUAUUUAACCGUUCGUCUGUUUUUCUUUUUCGUCGGAUUUUCUCGUUAUUUUCUCAGAUUCGAUUUCUGAUCGAAUUUUCGAAUCUGUUUAACUUCUCGCUCGUUUAUCGGAAUCAGGCGAUUCAAGCGCCUAGAGUUUCGUCUCGAAAUUCUCUUUCCGUUUAACCUACUCAAACAAGUUUUUGCUAUAGUAAAAAUUGACCUAGAUCCAGAUUAGCAAACGAAGUUUCUUUCUUUCGCCGUUUGACUUUCGUUGUUUCUUUCGAGUUGAUUCUUUUUGCAAACCGGAGUUCUUAAGUUGAACUUUCUGGUUGGAUCUUUCUUUCGAGUUUUACCUGUGCAUUAGAUGAGUACUGAUUGUAUGCUUGUUUGUUUGCGAUAGAGUACCCGGAGUGUGCCGCUUGUUACUUCGACUCGCUAGGUUUUGCGGAUCAUCAGCAAGGCAAGUAACACUUUGAUCAUACCCCGUCCAUACCCAGUUUUAAUGCAUUAGAUCUAUUCCUCACACAUUGCAUGAUUAGGAUCUAAUUAAACUGUGGGUAUUUGGGAAGUAGUUGAGGUAGUACCUAUUACUUGUUCAUAUAUCAAACCCUCGGGAGUUACUUCUACGUUGCUUUUAUUAUUGCCAUGCUAUGCUCGUAGACGUGGAUUGGGUUUGAGUGAAAUUCAUGAUAGAUGUGAGUGUUUAAUAAUGGUUCAACUUAAGGUGGCAACUAAAACUCACAUCUGGGUGGAUUGAGGCACCUGGAGAACCCAGUGUUGUCUGUAUGUAUAAGGUCCGCCACCCAGGCUCAAAGGGAUCAUAAGAUUAUUCAUGCUAGAAACUUCCGUGUGCAGCCGCAAGCUAUUAUGGGCUCUAGCAUAGCUGAGUAGGUUACAGGAUCUCUUGAAGAGGUGGACUAGCAGAUGUAGGGGAAGUAGGUGUACCGGUCCAUCCAGAGUAGAGAGUGACUGUUUCUGAAAGACUGUGUCUCGGUCAUCCGUUUCUCAAACAACAUGCAGUGCGAGAAUCAAGCGGAGGCGAUCGAGUCUUGUGGGAAAAGUGCGCAAACCUCUGCAGAGUGUACAAACUGAUCAUGAUUAGCCGUGUCCCCGGUUAUGGACAACUUGAGUAUCUAGUACCUGGAUUAUCAUUUGAAUCUCAUCACCGUGAUACUUAUAAUUAAUUUUGUUGGGUUAAUGAUGUUACUUAAUUGGGAUUGAGUUGGAGGUACCUUCUCAAUGUUUCAACCACCAUGAUAGUUAAAUAAAAUUUAUUCCUUUGUAGUAGGAUAAAAUUGGCUUUUCGCAAAAACUGUAACCAUAGAGCCUUUCCACCAGCCAUAUGUGCAUAUAGUAUAGCCUUAUCAUUGUUCAUUGUUCUCUAUGUCUUGCUUUGCCAGCAUAUUCUAUGUGCUGACCCGUUUCGGGCUGCAACGUUUCAUGUUGCAGACUUUUCAGACGACGAGUAAGGAUGCCUUAGGUCGUGGUCUUAUACUCAGUGAUGCCGCUGGAGUUGAUGGACUCACUUAUCUUCCAAGUCUUCCGCUGUUAUCGUUAUAGAUGGCCUUAAGCCAUGUUUAUCAUACUUAAUCUCUUUGGAGAUAUUCGACGUAAUAAGUGUGUGAUUGCUACUCUGUUAUAAAUCCUCCAUUUGUACUGUGCGUGUCAGCAUUACUGAUCCAGGGAUGACACUGGUGCACAGCAGCACAGGCCAUUUGAGGUCUGGUCGCUACACUCAAUGUUCAACAACCACCAUGAUAGUUAAAUAAAAUGUAUUCCUUUGCAGUAGGGAAAAAUUGGCUUUUCGCAAAAACUUUAACCAUAGAGCUUUCCACCAGCCAUAUAUGCAUGUAGUAUAGCAUUAUCAUGUUCAUUAUUCUCUAUGUGUUAUUUUGCCAGCAUAUUCCAUGUGCUGACCCGUUUUCGGGCUGCAACGUUUCAUGUUGCAGACUUUUCAGACGACGAGUAAAGGUGCUUUAGGUCGUGGUCUUAUACUCAGUGAUGCCGUUGGAGUUGAUGGACUCACUUAUCUUCCAAGUCUUCCGCUGUUAUCGUUUUUAGAUGGCCAUUAAGCCAUAUUUAUCAUACUUAUUCUCUUUGGAGAUAUUUGAUGUAAUAAGUGUGUGAUUGCUACUCUGUUAUAAAUCCUCCAAUUGUACUGUGCGUGUCAGCAUUACUGAUCCAGGGAUGACACUGGUGCACAGCAGCACAGACCAUUUGAGGUCUGGUCGCUACAUUUUUUAGGUACUCCAUCUUUGAAACUAUAAUUAGCAAGCAUAGUGAAGAUUUCAGCUUCCGGUAUUUUUCUCUUAUUAGUGAUGAUGUCUUUCAUAUAAUUUGCAUAAGGAGGCAUUUUCAAGAUAUCAGUCAAACGAGUACGCAAAAAGACUGGCCUUAGCAUUUCAGCAAAGCGUUCAAAUUCUACAUCAUCUUUCUUUUUAGUUGACUUGGGUGGAAAAGGCAUAGGUUUUUGAACCCACGGUUCUCUUUCUUUACCACGUUUUCUAGCAAUGAAGUCUCUUUUAUCAUACCUUUUAUUCUUAGGUUGUGGGUUAUCAAGAUCAACAGGUGGUUCUAUCUCAACAUUAUUAUCUGGUUCUUUUUCAUUAUUUGGUUGAGUGUCUUCAUGAACUUCAUCAUUAUCUUUUUCAUUAUCACUAGGUGAGUGUUCAUUACCACAUUGAGUUCAGCAUUUGAGAUAGAAGUUUCAUUAUCAUUAUCAGGAGGUUUCUCUAUUUCAGGUUCACUAGAAGUAUGCAAAGUCCUAUCAUUUUUCUUUUUAUUUUUCUUUCUAGAAGGACUAGGUGCACUAGUGUUAUUUCUUUGUGGGUCUUGUUCAAUUCUUUUUUGGGUGUCCCUCAGGAUAAAGUGGUUCCUGAGUCAUUUUACCUCCUCUAGUUGCAACUCUAACAGCAAAGUCAUGUAUAUUAUGAUUCAUUUCAUCAAGCAAUUCUCUUUGAGAUUUAGCAACUUGUUCUAACUGAGUUUGAACCAUAGAAGCAUGCUUUCCAACACCUCUAACAUCAUUUGAGAUUCUAAAUAACAAGUCACUCAAGCGAGCUAUCAUAUCAAAAUUAUAUUUCAAUUGUUUCAUAACAUUUGCAUUGAAGUGAUCUUGUUUUCUAAUAUAGUUUUCAAACUCAUAAAGGCAUUGACUAGGAUGCAUAUUGUGAGGAUUAUCAUUAUCAUUGAACUUCAUUAGAGAAUUUACCUCUAUCACCUUAGGCAGCGGUGGUGUAUUAAGCCCAUGUAUUUCUUCAAUAGGAGGUAAAUUUUUAACAUCCUCAGCUUUAAUACCUUUUUCCUUCAUAGAUCUCUUUGCCUCUUGCAUAUAUUCAGGACUGAGAUAUAAUAUACCCCUCUUCUUCGGAGUGGGUUUAGGCGGUGGUUCAGGAAGAGUCCAAUCAUCAUAAUUUUUCAAUAUAUUAUUCAAUAAUUCUUCAGCUUGUCCAACAGUUCGUUUCGUGAAAACACAACCAGCACAACUAUCUAGGAAGUCUCUAUAAGCAUCGGUUAGUCCAUUAUAGAAGAUAUCAAGUAUUUCAUUUUUCUUAAAAGGAUGAUCAGGCAAAGCAUUAAGUAACUGGCAAAGCCUCCCCCAAGCUUGUGGGAGACUCUCUUCUUUAGUUUGCACAAAGUUAAAUAUUUCCUGCAAGGCAGCUUGUUUCUUAUGAGUAGGGAAAUAUUUUUCAAAGAAGUAAUAAAUCAUAUCCUGGGGACUACGCACACAACCAGGAGUAAGAGUAUUGUACCAAGCUUUAGAAUCACCCUUUAAUGAGAACGGGAAUAAUUUGAGAAUAAAGUAAUAGCGAGUCUUCUCAUCAUGAGUAAAAAGGGUGGCUAUGUCAUUCAACUUAGUAAGAUGUGUCACAACAGUUUCAGUUCAUAACCAUGGAAAGGAUCAGAUUCAACCAGAGUAAUUAACUCUGGGUCGACAGAGAAUUCAUAAUCCUUAUCAUCAAUAAAGAUAUGUGAAGUAGCAAACUUAGGAUCAUAUUUCAUUCUAGCAUUCAGAGAUUUUUCUUUAUACUUGCAUAAUAAUUUCUCUAGAUCAUCUCUAUCCCUACAAGCAAGAAUAUCUCUAGUUGUCUCCUCAUUCAUAACAUAACCUUUCGGUACCUUAGGCAAUUCAUAUCUAGGAAGGCUAGUUCUAGCAGGUGUUUCAGGAGAUUCAGUUUCAAGCUCAUCAUCAGAUUCAACAACAUCAUGUUGUAUUACUCUAGCAAUUUGUGCAUCAAGAAAAUCACCAAGUGGCACAUCAUCAUUAUCAAGCAAGGUACUAGCAUCAUCAUAAGCAUUAUCCAAAGCAGAAGUAGCAUCAUCAAUAACUUGCGACAUAUCAGAAUUAAUAGCAUGUGGUGGUGUUGCAAGUUUACUUAUAACAGAAGGUGAAUCUAAAGCAGAACUGGAUGGCAGUUCCUUACCUCCCCUCGUCUUUGAGGGAAAUAUCUUAGUCUUAGCGUCCUUCAGAUUCUUCAUAGUGAUAAUAUGAUAAUAAUCCCAAGUGACUCAACAAAUAUAGCUAUGCUCCCCGGCAAUGGCGCCAGAAAAAGGUCUUGAUAACUGACAAGUAUAGGGGAUCGCAAUAGUUUUUGAGGGUAGAGUAUUCAACCCAAAUUUAUAGAUUCGACACAAGGGGAGCCAAAGAAUAUUUGAAGGUAUUAGCAGCUGAGUUGUCAAUUCAAACACACCUGGAGAUUAAUUAUGUGCAGCAAAGUAAUCAGUAGCAAAGUAGUAUGAUAGUUUUGAUAAUAGUGACAGCAGCAACGGUAACGGUAACAGUGAUAGCACUAAUUUUGUAGCAAGUGUAACAGUGAUGACAGCAGUAGUAACUUAGCAGAACAAUAUAGGAAAAAAUUCGUAGUCAUCGGAUCCAUGACUUGUUGGAUGAUAUUCAUCAUGUGACAGUUAUAACCUAGGUCGAUACGGCACUAGCUCCAGUUCAUCGAUAUUGUAACGCCCACGAUGCGGCUAUAUCUCUCACGUGUUGAGGCACGACUUAGAGGCAUAACCGCUUUGUAGGUUUUGUCGCAAGAAGGGUCAUCUUCAAACAAUCCCAUGUAAUGAACAAGAAAGGGAUAAAGAUUUGGCUUACAAUCGCCACUUCACACAAUACAUUAAUUAAACAUACAUCAACCAGAGUACACACAUAGGUCCGACUACGGAACCAAAAGAAAAGAAGACAACCACAAAUGCCAGAUCCCUGAUCGUCCCAACUGGGCACCACUACUGAUCAACAUGAGAAGAAACAUAGUAACGACCAAGGUCCUCAUCGAGCUCCCACUUGAGCUCGGUUGCGUCACCUGCCCUGGUAUCAACGGCACCUGCAACUGUUUUGGUAGAAUCUGUGAGUCACGAGGACUCAGCAAUCUCACACCCGCGAGAUCAAGACUAUUUAAGCUUAUGGGUAGGAGAAGGUAGUGAGGUGGAGCUGCAGCAAGCACUAAGCAUAUAUGGUGGCUAACAUACGCAAAUAAGAGCGAGAAGAGGAGCAACGGAACGGUCGUCAACUAGUAAUGAUCAAGAAGUGAUCCUGAACUCCUACUUACGUCAAACAUAACCCAAAAGCCGUGUUCUCUUCCCGGACUCCGCCGAAAAGAGACCAUCACGGCUACACACGCGGUUGAUGCGUUUUAAUUAAGUCGAGUGUCAAGUUCUCUACAACCAGACAUUAACAAAUUCCCAUCUGCCACAUAACCGCGGGCACGGCUCUCGAAAGUUUAUACCCUGUAGGGGUGUCCCAACUUAGCCCAUUAUAAGCUCUCACGGUCAACGAAGGAUAUUCCUUCUCCCGGGAAGACCCGAUCAGUCUCGGAAUCCCGGUUUACAAGACAUUUCGAUAAUGGUAAAACAAGACCAGCAAAGCCGCCCGAUGUGCCGACAAAUCCCGAUAGGAGCUGCACAUAUCUCGUUCUCAGGGCACACCGGGUGAGCAAGACGUCGGGUUGGCAUAGACCCUGGUUGCCCAGGGGGCGCCGGACAUUGCUCGGUUUGGACCAGCACUCGAAGGAGCACUGGCCCGGGGGGUAAAUAAAGAUGACCCUUGAGUCUGCAGAACCCAAGGGAAAAAGGCUUAGGUAGGCAAAUGGUAAAACCAAGGUUGGGCCUUGCUGGAGGAGUUUUAUUCAAAGCGAACUAUCAAGGGGGUCCCAUAAAUCACCAAACUACGUAAGGAACGCAAAAUCAAGGAACAUAACACCGGUAUGACGGAAACUAGGGCGGCAAGAGUGGAACAAAACACCAGGCAUAAGGCCGAGCCUUCCACCCUUUACCAAGUAUAUAGAUGCAUUAAUUAAGAUAAGAGAUAUUGUGAUAUCCCAACAUAUCCAUGUUCCAACAUGGAACAAACUUCAUCUUCACCUGCAACUAACAACGCUAUAAGAGGGGCUGAGCAAAAGCGGUAACAUAGCCAAACAACGGUUUGCUGGGAAAGGUGGGUUAGAGGCUUGACAUGGCAAUAUGGGAGGCAUGAUAUAGCAAGUGGUAGGUAGCGCGGCAUAGCAAUAGAGCGAACAACUAGCAAGCAAAGAUAGAAGUGAUUUCGAGGGUAUGGUCAUCUUGCCUGAGAUCCCGCAAGGAAGAAGAACGAGUCCAUGAAGAAGACAAACGGAUGUAGUCGAACGAAUCCUCACAACUCCGGAACAAAACCGAAGCUAACGAGAGAAGCAACCCGGAAAGAAAUAAACAACAUAGUAAACAACCACCACAUACACAUGGCAUGAUGCACAAACAAGUAUGAUGCAUGUCCGGUUUAAUGAGGCAUGGCAUGGCAAAGUGCACAAACAAUACUACAAAUUAAGUGGAGCUCAAUAUGUAACAAGUUGCAUAUUGACGAAACACCACAUUGAAGUUAUUUAGUUUGCUCUCAUUUAUGUACCCAACAAUGUUAAAUAUUGAUUAACAUGGCAAGAGGUGAAGCAUAAGUAAACUAACUAUUUAGGCAAGUUUAAAUGAGGCCGGAACAACAAAUAACAAUUCCGGAAAAUCCUCAUAUGCAUAUUUUGGAAUUGGUACUGUUCUGUCCUAAAGCAUACUUUAGAAUUGUUAACAUGCAAAACAAAGUGCACCAUGUUAAACUAGGCAUUUUUCUACCCCAUUUACAUAUAAAGUUUAUUUAAUUUAGAGCUACGAUUAUUUAGUUAUGAAAUAAAUCAUUUUAACAUGGCAUUUAGCAAAUUAAAUGCAAGCGGCAUUUUAAACAUUUUAAACAAGGAUGCAAGCAGCGUAUUAUGAAACUAGAUGAAAUUCUAAGCAUUUUACAUAUAUAAUUCAUUUUAAUCCGAUGCACGGUUGUGGAGUUAUUAAAUGCAUGAACAUUAAGGGGUUUUCUGAAAAACUGCAGUCUCUGAAAAAUUAGCAAAUUCGCAGGUCAGGGAAAAAAAUGCUAUCGGGCUGAAACUGGAGCUACAGGAACUGGGCGGCUCACCAGGCCUCAUGGGCCGGUUGAUGAAGGAGGCCCGACAAGGGGGCGCAGCUGGGCUUGGUGCGAUCUCGCGCUAGGCCGCCCGGUCGCUGGCGCUCCAGACGAACAGGGACGCGGUCAACGGUGAUGCGGUCCUCGCUCGGGCACAGGCGUGCGCUCGAGGCAGGGUCGUCCUCCUCCUGCUCGAUGCAGAAGUAGAGGAAGAAGGCGCUGGCGGCCGGCUCCGGGACUCCGGGACGGCGCGGCGGCGGAUCUGGGCGAUGCAGUCAACGGCGCGGAACUUGGCCAGGCGGAGGGCGAGGUUGAGCUCGGGGACGAGCCCCUGCCGCUCGGGGAGGCGCGAAGCAGAGGAGGCUAGAAGCGGGGCGCUCACGAGCAAGGGGCACGGAGCUCCGGUGCAAAAUCCAUGGUGGCUGGCGCGUCCUGUGCUCCCUGAGAGAGAAACGAGGGGAGAGAAAGAGGGUUACAGGAGAGACGAGGGAAGGAGGGAACGGAAGGAGAAGGAGACGGGAGGUUGGCCUGAAAACAACGUCCGUCCGGGGUUAGUUUCAUUCAAAUCAUGAAAAUUAGAGUGAGGAAAAGCGUUAGGAAAAGUAGAUACGUUGGAGACGUAUUAGGAUCUCACGCGUACAAAAGGUUGCGGCGGUGGAAAAGUGUUUUCGUGGCUCUCCUGAUUUGUUUUGGAAUAUUUGAGAAUAUAUAGGCGAAAGAAAUAGGUCGGUGGAGUCACGAGGGUCCCACAAGGGUGGGGGCGCGCCCUACCCCCUGGGCGCGCCCUCCGUCCUUGUGGAUGCCUCGUGGCUUCCCUGACGUGCACUCCAAGUCCUCUGGAUGUCUUCUGGUCCAAGAAAAAUCAUCGCGAAGGUUUCAUUCCGUUUGGACUCCGUCUGGUAUUCCUUCUCUGCGAAACUCUAAAACAAGGAAAAAAUAGAAACUGGCACUGAGCUCUAGGUUAAUAGGUUAGUCCCAAAAAUAAUAUAAAAUAGCAUAUUAGUUCAUAUAAAACAUCCGAAACAUAUAAUAUAAUAGCAUGGAACAAUCAAAAAUUAUAGAUACGUUGGAGACGUAUCAGUAUGUAUUAUUUUCAAUAAGUCAUUAGUUCGCUCCAUUGUUCCGGAGAACAGAGUUUUAGUCAUCUUUCCCAUGAGGCAUGGUUCGCAAGUAUCAAAUGAUUCAUAAUCAAGUGAUUCCAAAAGUCCAUCUGUAUGGAGUUUCUUCAUGGGUUUUACACUAAUAUGACCUAAACGACAGUGCCACAAGUAUGUUGCACUAUCAUUAUCAACUUUGCAUCUUUUGGCAUCAAUAUUAUGAAUAUGUGUAUCACUACGAUUGAGAUUCAAUAAACCAUUUACAUUGGGUGUAUGACCAUAGAAGGUUUUAUUCAUGUAAACAGAACAACAAUGAUUCUCUGACUUAAAUGAAUAACUGUAUUGCAGUAAACAUGAUCAAAUCAUAUUCAUGGUCAACGCAAACACCAAAUAACAUUUAUUUAGGUUCAACACUAAUCCCGAAGAUAGAGGGAGUGUGCGAUGGUGAUUGUAUCAACCUUGGAAUCACUUCCAACACACAUCGUCACCUCGCCCUUAACUAGUCUCUGUUUAUUUUGCAACUCCUGUUUUUGAGUUACUAAUCUUAGCAACUGAACCGGUAUCAAAUACCCAGGGGUUGCUAUGAACACUAGUAAAGUACACAUCAAUAACAUGUAUAUCAAAUAUACCUUUGUUCACUUUGCCAUCCUUAUCCGCCAAGUAUUUGUGGCAGUUCCGCUUCCAGUGACCAUUUCCUUUGCAGCAGAGGCACUCAGUUUCAGGGUUGGGUCCAGCUUUGGGCUUCUUCAUGGGAGCGGUAGCUUGCUUGACAUUCUUCUUGAAGUUCCCUUUCUUUCCCUUGCCCUUUUUCUUGAAACUAGUGGUCUUGUUAAUCAUCAACACUUGAUGCUCUUUCUUGAUUUCUACCUUCGCUGAUUUCAGCAUCGCGAAGAGCUCGGGAAUCAUUUUGGUCAUCCCUUGCAUAUUAUAGUUCAUCACAAAGUUCUAUUAGCUUGGUGAUAGUGACUAGAGAAUUUUGUCAAUCACUAUCUUAUCUAGAAGAUUAACUCCCACUUGAUUCAAGUGAUUGUAGUACCCAGACAUUCUGAGCACAUGCUCACUGGUUGAGCUAUUCUCCUCCAUCUUGUAGGCAAAGUACUUGUCAUAGGUCUCAUACCUCCUGACACGGGCAUGAGUCUGAAAUACUAAUUUCAGCUCUUGGAACAUCUCAUAUGCUCUGUGGCGUUCAAAAGGUUUUGAAGUCCUGGUUUUAAGCCAUAAAGCAUGGCGCACUAAACUAUUAAGUAGUCAUCAAAUCGGGCUUGCCAAACGUUCAUAACGUCUGCAUCUGCUCCUGCAAUAGGUCUGUCACCUAGCGGUGCAUCAAGAACAUAAUUCUUCUGUGCAGCAAUGAGGAUAAUCCUCAGAUCACAGACCCAGUCCGCAUUAUUGCUACUAUCAUCUUUCAACUUAGUUUUCUCUAGGAACAUAUCAAAAAUAUAGGGGAGCUAUAUCGCGAGCUAUUGAUCUACAACAUAGAUAUGCAAAAACUACUAAGACUAAGUUCAUGAUAAAUUAAGUUCAAUUAAUCAAAUUACUAAAGAACUCCCACUUAAAUAGACAUCCCUCAAGUCAUCUAAGUGAUACGUGAUCCAAAUCAACUAACCCAUGUCCGAUCAUCACGUGAGAUGGGGUAGUCAUCAAUGGUGAACAUCUCUAUGUUGAUCAGAUCUACUAUAUGAUUCACAUUCGACCUUUCGGUCUCCAGUGUUCCGAGGCCAUGUCUAUACAUGCUAGGCUCGUCAAGUUUAACCCAAGUAUUCCGCAUGUGCAAAACUGUCUUGCACCCGUUGUAUGUGAACGUAGAGUCUAUCACACCCGAUCAUCAUGUGGUGUCUCAACACGAUGAACUGUAGCAACGGUGCAUACUCAGGGAGAACACUUUUACCUUGAAAUUUAGUGAAGGGGUCAUCUUAUAAUGCUACCGCCGUACUAAGCAAAAUAAGAUGCAUAAAAGAUAAAUAUCACAUGCAAUCAAAAUAUGUGACGUGAUAUGGCCAUCAUCAUCUCAUGGUUUUGAUCUCCAUCUCCAAAGCAUCGUCAUGAUCUCCAUCGUCACCGGCUUGACACUUUGAUCUCCAUCAUUGCGUCGUGGUCGUCUCGCCAACUAUUGCUUCUACAACUAUCGCUAACGCAUAGUGAUAAAGUAAAGCAAUUACAUGGCGUAUGCAUCUUAUACAAUAAAGAGACAACCAUAAGGCUCCUGCCGGUUGCCAGAUAUCUUACAAAACAUGAUCAUCUCAUACAAUAACAUAUAUCACAUCAUGUCUUGCCCAUAUCACAUCACAACAUAUCCUGCAAAAAAAGUUAGACGUCCUCUACUUUGUUGUUGCAAGUUUUACGUGGUUGCUAUGGGUUUCUAGCAAGAACCGUUCUUACCUACGGCAAAAACCACAACGUUAUUUCGUCAAGUUUGUUGCUUUAACCUUCUUCAAGGACCGACCGCAGUCAAAUUCGAUUCAACUAAAGUAGGAGAAACAGACACCCGCCAGCCACCUUUAUGCAAAACUAGUUGCAUGUCAGUCGGUGGAACCGGUCUCAUGUGCAUGGACAUGUAAGGUUGGUCCGGGCCGCUUCAUCCCACAAUACCGCCGAAUCAAAAUAAGACAUUGGUGGUAAGCAGUAUGACUAUCACUGCCCACAACUCUUUGUGUUCUACUCGUGCAUAUCAUCUACGCAUAGACCUGGCUCAUGAUGCCACUGUUGGGAAUCGUUGCAUGGAAAACAAAAAAAAUUCUACGCACACACAAUGAUCUAUCCAUGGAGAUGCAUAGCAAUGAGGGUGAGAGUGUGUCUAUGUACCCUCGUAGACCGUAAGCGCAAGCGUUUCACAACGUGUUUGAUGUAGUCGAACUUCUUCGUGCUUCAACCGAUCAAGUACCAAACGCACAGCACCUCCGCGUUCUGCACACGUUCAACUCGGUGACGUCACUCGCCUUCUUGAUCCAGCAAGAUGUGGAGGUAGUAGAUGAGUUUCAUCAGCACGAUGGCGUCAUGACGGUGAUGGUGAAGUGAUCUCCACAGGGCUUCGCCUAAGCACUACGAAAAUAUGACCGGGGUGUAAAUGGUGGAGGGGGGCGCCGCACACGGCUAGGCAAUUCUCUGGUGUGUGCUAGGCGCCCCUCCCACAUAUAUAUAGGUGGGAGGGAGGGAGAAGUAGCCAAAGGAGGCGCCCAAGUAGGAGGAAUCCUACUUGGGGUCCCUCCCAAGCCGCGCCCCCUUCUUUCCUUAUUUGGAGUGCGGGGAAAGGCAGGGGAGGGUGGCGCCCCUCCAUUUCCUUUCUCCCAUGAGAGGGAAAGGCAGGAGGGGCUAGCCCUCCCCCUUUUCCUUCCCUAGGGUUGUUCAAACAAGUGGAGGGGCACACCAGCCCCCUAGUGGGCUGGUCUGUCCCUCCCUUUGGCCCAUUAAGCCCAUAACUUGCCGGGGGGUGCUCGGAACCCCUUCCGAUGACCCGAUUCCUUCCCGGUACGCCCCGAAACACUUCCCGUGUCCAAAUACCAUCGUCGUAUAUAUCGAUCUUUACCUCUCAACCAUUUCGAGACUCCUCGUCAUGUCCAUGAUCUCAUCCGGGACUCCGAACAACAUUCGGUCACCAAAUCAUAUAACUCAUAUAACACUAUAUCGUCAAUGAACGUUAAGCAUGCCGACCCUACGGGUUCGAGAACUAUGUAGACAUGACCAAGACACCUCUCCGGUCAAUAAACAAUAGCGGAACCUGGAUGCCCAUAUUGGCUCCUACAUAUUCUACGAACAUCUUUAUCGGUCGAACCGUUAUGACAACACACGUAAUUCCCUUUGUCUAUCGGUAUGUUACUUGCCCGAGAUUCGAUCGUCGGUAUCUUUAUACCUAGUUCAAUCUCGUUACCGGCAAGUCUCUUUACUCGUUCCGUAAUACAUCACCUCGCGAUUAACUCCUUAGUCAUUUGCUUGCAAGCUUAUGAUGUGUAUUACCGAGAGGGCCCAGAGAUACCUCUCCGAUACUCAGAGAGACAAAUCGUAAUCUCGAUCUAUGCCAACUCAACAAACACCUUCGGAGAUACCUGUAGAGCAUCUUUAUGAUCACCCAGUUAUGUUGUGACAUUUGAUAGCACACAAGGUAUUCCUCCAGUAUCCGGGAGUUGCAUAAUCUCAUAGUCGAAGGAAUAUGUAUUUGACAUGAAGAAAGCAAUAGCAACGAACUGAACGAUCAUUAUGCUAAGCUAACGGAUGGGUCUUGUCCAUCACAUCAUUCUCUUAAUGAUGUGAUCCCAUUAUCAAAUGAAAACUCAUGUCCAUGGUUAGGAAACCUUAACCAUCUUUGAUCAACGAGCUAGUCUAGUAGAGGCUCACUAGGGACACGUUGUUUGCUUAUGUAUUAACACAUGUAUUUAAGUUUCCGAUCAAUACAAUUCUAGCAUGAAUAAUAAACCUUCAUCAUGAUUUAGGAAAUAUAAUAAUAACCAUUUUAUUAUUGCCUCUAGGGCAUAUUUCCAUCACAUGGUGCUAUUUGAAAAUAUAUAUGGAGUAAGUAUUGCAAAUGCAUGCAGUUUAUUUGUGCUUUCUCCUCAUUAUGUAGAUUUAUGAGAAGGCAAAAAAGAAAUAAUAUUAUUGGUUAUUGUCCACUUCCAAUUUUCGGAGGCUAAAAAAAUCAAAAAGGGAGAAACUGGGUGCAGGAAAGAGAAGAUUUAGUGAAACUUAUUCAAAG
rnacentral:lncRNA from 1 species